rnacentral:lncRNA from 1 species
GCCCGUGUAUACCCUUUAUCGUUGUGCCUAAUAAGAAUCCGUCCCUGUCAUGUGACCAACUCCUGUAGCUACCUCUCUGCUGGAUGCUGCAUGCACACGGAGUCCUGGGAUCUCGGUUACGUUGGUCUCUCGCUCCCGUGCGCGCGUGCUGUGUACUGGCUAUAUAUAGCUUUGCUUCAGGGCGUGUCCUGUGCCAUGUGACGGUGCACCUCUGUUAUGUGCAAUGAAAUCUACUGUGUGGUUUGACUAAGUAAUUAAUUGAAUUCAGUGCCUGCCUACUGUCUGUCCACGGUAACUUCACAGGUAGGUAGUAAACUCUGGAACCAAACACCCUACCCUAUACAUGAUGCAGUAAUUCAUUGAUACCAGCCGCUGGCUAACUCCAUAUAUCGUCUACUACUUAGAAUGAUGGAUUGCUCAACUUUUUGUAAAAAAUAAAAGGAUGCUGGAGUGGUAAUUUGUGACUUUGAGCUCAUGUGCGGCCAACCAGAUGCGAUAUGUGCGAGCUUUUGUGGGAGAUAAUCGAGUAUCAAUAUUGAGUGCACACCUUGAGGGGGAUGGUGAAUUUUUAGCAAAACCUAGAAUUAUACUUAGUACUAGGAUCAUGCCUGUGCGUUGGGACAAAAUAUUUACAUUUUCAUUACAAUAUACGAACCACUAAAUAAGACAAUAACAGCCUGAAAAUAAGCAGGAAUAUUAAAAAAUAUUUAAUCUAAGAAAAUAGUUAAUAAAUUAGACAAAGCUUGACACAUAAUGUAAUCAUGUAGAGAUAAAAGCUUUUAACUCAUGGCUUACUGUAAAACAAUAGAGAACGCAUAACAUAACCGAAUAGCAUACUCAUAAAUACAACAGAUAAUAUUUAUAAUAGAAGUUACAAUAACAAGACAACAUUUGCUCACAGUUUAUAGUGUUCAAUCCGGUCGGUGGAUUUAAAUCACAGACCAACAAACUGAUUCAAACACAAUUUAUCACAUUACAUGGCCUUUCCAUUGCAUUUUCUAUUUACAAAAUAAAGCUUACUCUUUUAUCAAAUAAAUAAUGGGAGAUGCCUGAUCUCCAAUGGGCUAUUGAACUUCUCUCCAUAGAACUUCUGCAAGCAGACAGAUUCAGGUUAUCAGCUAAAGCUUCAAAAUAUUACCCAGAUGUAUCUCAAUCUAUCCAUCCGAAAUUCAAUAUUUAAAUUGCAGUCCAAAGAAUGUGGAAAAGGGUCGGCUUCAGUUAACAAGAAAAUAGGAUAUUAGUCAUAAACUGCUAAAGGAAAUAUUAUCUCAGGGGUCUGAAUUCAUAUUUCACUCAUCUGCUACGUAGUCCACACAUGAAAAAGGCAAGGCUUGCGUUUGUAAAGGGCUAACUAUCCUGCUCUUGCAAAGAUGACUCACACAUGAAGCAUGUAUUGAGAUGCUGAAAACAAGCAAUUGGUUCUGCAAUAUGUUCAUGUCUGCAAGAAAAAAACAUCUGUAAUCAAACUCAAGAUUUCUCAUUCACGUACCUGUACAUAAGAUACUUGCUUUGACAUUUGAUCAAUCACACCUGGGACAGACAAAGAGAACAUUUCAAAUUAUAUGUCAACAGCAAGCAACAUGGAUUCCGACCAAGUGUGCAUCUACAAAAUUGGUCACCAGUUUACCAGAAACAAAGUGUAAAUGGAUUCCGACCAUGUGUGCAUCUACAAAAUUGGUCACCAGCUUACCAGAAACAAAGUGUAAUGACCUAGCCAAUGUUAUUUAAGCUGAAACUAAACAACAGUAAGGAGGUAAUCUAGGUUAUAAUGUUAUAAUAGAAUCGUGUAAACAGACAUUCUCCCGGUAUCGUGGAAAUCUUUCAAGUUUCUAGAUUUUACUUUAACUUGGUGCAUAUAAAAAUAUCCACGGAGGCAUGAUUAGUAAACGUUAUUUCUGGAUGUCUAAAAUACUAAGCAUAUAGUAUAUGUCUUAAUCAUAACAUAGAAACAUUUCAUGUGUAUACGUAGAAUAAAAAAUGAACACCCCCUCGGGGCUUGUCCAUUGCUAAAUUUCAUUUGACCAAAUUACUUAAGUUAUAUCUAAUACUGAACUGGAUCACAUGGACACUGUCUCUCCAUAAAUAAGCAGUCUCGUAGUUUCAUGUUUUAAAAAAUUAGCAGGCAUAUACCCUCUAAAUUACCGCAUCCAUAAUCAACCAGGAUUCAGACCAUAUAUAUCCCAACACCAAUAAUCAUAGCAGGUUGGAUAUUGUCGUUGAACAUGUGCCUGGAAGUCUGAAUCCAGUAACACAUUGGUGACCUUGAUGCUCCCAUAGAUUAUCUGAGGUGUUGCAUGUUCAUGAAGAUACCUGUGAGAAAGCCAUUGUCAGUGAUGUCUGACACAGUGUUUAUCAAAAGCAACAAAGUACAAAUUAUCAGUGCUAUUCUGUUAUGAGCAAAGAUAAUAAGACCGUUUACUGACAAGAGUGCCCGAGCAGCACCAAUGGCAAUAGAUGCUCUCCUCCGCCAAUCAAGGAGACACUCCGCUGAGUUUGCCAUAUAGUCAUACACCAGCAUGCGUUCAGGUCCAUCCGCACAAUAUCCACGGAAACUCAGGAGGUUUAUGUGUCUUAUUCUUCCCAAGAUCUUGACUUCUGAAGCAAAUUCCACUUAUGUGCCAUUCUUUGUAUUCUUUAACCUCUUGACAGCAAUCUGCAUAAUAAAAGAUUGGCAAAGUCAAUCAGUAGGUUGCAUGGAGUUCAUUGUAGUUUUAUAUAUUAAAACUGGGUAGCAACAAUAAUGUAUGGAACCGCACGUCAUCACAAUUUUUCCCAGCCACUAAAUUUGCAUCAAUUGGACACAAGUACGCAUAAAAAAGACAAAGGUACAAACAGAACAAACUAUACUUAAGAGAUGGUUGUUCAUUUGUCCAUCUAACAUUAUACUAACCCUCUCCACGAUGCUAGACAUCUUUUUUUGUUUACUCCCCUAUGACAACAUAUCCUACCUACCUAAUAAUAUCACAAUCAAAGAUCAAAGAUCAAUGUCCCAAAACUAAUCAAGAAAAGUUAACCGAUAGCAGUUGCUAGACUAUUUAGUGAGACAGGUACCGAUAAAAUUUGCAAAACUGUGCAUAAUAAUUGUGAUCGCCCAGCUGAAAAGCAAGAAUUUAAAAGCAAUAAAGUUGAAAAAGUUUUAAAAAUUUUAGUUCACAGCAAGGACCAAAAUGUACAGAGCAGAAACCUGAGAGCCAUCCCAAACUUGUCCCCAAUACACACUCCCAAGAGGCCCUUCUCAAAUCUUGUUAUCAUAAUUGAAGAUGUUUGUUGCCGAUCGAAGCUCCCUCAACGAGAACACCCACCUCAAUGAUCCGCUCCCUUCGUCAGACCUGGCAAACCAAAGCCACCAAACACAGGAUAAGCUACAAGCCUACAACCAAUUAAUCUUCCAAGUAGAACCUAUAGAAUCAACUCAUAUGAAACUUCUUAAAUAUGAAACUUGGAAACCAGGAAAAGUUUCAAAGGAUGAAGAUGACACAUGAACUGAAGUAACCUGAAUUUCAAAUUGGCAUUUGAUAAGGUAGGAAAAAACAUUAAUUUCUAAAUUGCAGUCUAAUAUCCUAUAUUAGACACUUGCACAAAGCAAAGGGCUACCUGUAAUGAUAACACCCUCCAGGUGUUGUCCAAGGAUUAAACUGCCACUUUCAGGUUACUUCUUUUUAUUCCUUGUUCAUCUGAUGCAGUCCGGAAGCUGAGGAAACAAAUGCAGCCAAUAUUGUUCAACACUAGGUGAGCUCAUCACCAUCACAGAGCCGUCUCUUGGUCAAGUUAAUAGAGGUCCAUCUGAAAAUCUAUGUUGCAUCCUUUUCUUUCCGAGAAUAAAAAUCAGUCACCCCCGUCAUUGCCAACGCCCAAUAUACAACUUAGCUUGUCAUCCGGAUCAAUGCUUGCCUCACACAUACUCCUGUACAUCUUUUUAGCUUGUUUCUCAUCCCCUGUUUUAAGGUACCAACGAUGAGAGCUGUAUAGGUUACUACAGUAGGCUUAAUAUUCCUUUUUUCCAUUUCUUCCAUCAUCAAAAGUGCACCAUCCAUUGCACGAACUUUACUGAAGCCACUAAUUAGGCAAGUAUAUACAAAAGCAUCUGGUGAUAAACCGGAGCUUUCCAUUUUUUUGUACAUUUCCAUGGCGGCCUUCAUAUUUGAACAUCUACAAUAGUGCGCAAUAAUAGAUGUGCACAAAAUCUUGUCAAGUAUCAGGUCCUCCCCAAUCAUAUCCCUCAUCAAUUUCCUAAAUCUAGGAAGUCCAUCAUCAUGGCACAGCCCAUUUAGGAGGCUAGUAUAUGUAAAAAUAGUAGGUUUUAUCCCUUCAUCCAACAUUUUAUGAUACAACCUGAAAGCCUCCUGCAACUCCAAAGCUUUCACAAAACCAUCAAUAAUAAUACUGUAGAGGAUAGCAUCAGGAACGUAUCCCCUUUUUAUCAUGUCUGCAAAAAGUUCCCACACGUCAUUCGAUUUGUUGAUCUUACAAAGGCCGUUGAUAAUAGCUUUGUAUGUGUAAAGAUUGGGGGCAAUUGCCAAUGACUGAUGUACUUUAUCCAGGAAUAGGAAGGCCUCACCAAUCAGCCCUUCUUUGCUAAAGCCGUCAACAAGGAUGGUGCAUGUCACAAUGUUGGGAGUUAUCCCAUUCUCAAGCAUGAGUUCAAAUACUUCCAAUGCUUCUAUAAGGCAUCGAUGUCUACAUAAUGCAUAGAUCCGAUUGGUAUAAUCAUAAACAUCUAGAACAAAAUCAUGAUGAAUCAUGUCAUCCCAAAGGCCAUUGACAAUAUCUAGAUGUAAAUGUUGGCAGCAGCCAUGGAAAAGGAUGCUGUACAUUAUCUGGUCAUGCUUGAAACCUUGGUCUUUAAGCCUCUUGAAAAACUCAAACGCAAAUUCAACAUUUCCAGUCUUGCAAAGACCAUGCAAAAGUGAACUAUAACUUACAUGGUUAGGACUGAUUCCAUUUCUUGCCAUUUCAUCAAGCAUGUCAUAACCUUUCAAUAGUUCCCCUUGUUUGCAUAACCCAUCAACUAAUAUGCUAUAGCUGUGGACAUCUGGGAGAAACCCACAUUUCUUCAUCCCAUUAAACACUUCUAUGGCUUUGUGGACCUGACCCUCACUACAGAAACCAUGAAUCACUGCAUUAAAACAAUAAGUGUUGCAAGGGCACCCUCUCUGACAAAGAUUUUGAAGAAAGUCCCAUGCAGACGUUAACUGUCUGGAACGGCAAAGCCCAUAGAGGUAAGUUCCAUAGGUUGCAGCAUUCGGUCUCACACCAUUCAUUUCCAUUUCACGAAGAAGCUCAAAAGCUUCCUCUAAGCACAACCUCUCUCCAUGUGUAUACAUACUCAUCAAAACUGAAUAAGAGUAGACAUUUGGUGAAGGACCAGAGCUCUUCAUGUCAUCAAAUAAACUCCUUGCAUACACAAUCUGAUUCCCCUUGACUAAACACUUCAGCAAGAAGUUGCACAAACGCAGCUCAGCACCAACCUUCUUGGCCUCAAUGUAAGUGAGAAGAGCGUCCUCAAACAUUGACAACUCUACAAAAAUCCGGAUAACUGCAGCAUAAACUUGCAACAACGUCAUUGACCCACCCAAUCUGCUGACCAAAAUAGGAGCCAACUCAAACAACUCCUGGCCAGCAUUUUCACAGUAAUCAACAAUGCUCUGAAUCAAGCACCGGAUCUCUCUGAUUCUCCGCGGUAAGAACAGCUGCACAAGCAAUGCAAACAAACCAAUUGAUUGAGAUAGCCCGUAUAACCUCACACACUCCCUGAAGCUUAUAUUUCUGGCAGCAUCCCAGUUCGCAGUCCGCACUGCUAGCGUGAUGGAGGGAAGGAGACACUGGCUUCUAUAGUCAAUGUAAGCAGAAUUCCAUCCGGGCUCCUCAUUAUCUGAGCUGUUCAAGCAACAAGCCUGAGAGGAAAGACGCAGCACUGGGGGGUAGCUCCUGAUUGCAUGGGCUCGCCGCAGGAACCCUGGGACUGCCCGGUGCAUAGACGAGGGAAGCCGAUCCCCUCCUUACAUUGACAGUACCAGCAGAAGCAGGAAUGAGCUGUGCAUAGACUACACUUCAUGGAGAAAUAUUAUUUGACAAGUUGAUGGAAAGGACCACCUGAGAGAUAAUGGGUCACACCUUCCAGAUUACAUCAAACUCUCCUGCAGGAAAUACAAAAAGAAACAUAAUCACUAUAACUGCAAGUUGUAGGAUGUACCAAUGUCCCUUCUGAAGAAACAGAUGCAACUUUCUACUACUAUAAAACCAUCUAGCUAGCAUAGAAGUUUCUCAACAACAGUUCCUCUAGACUAAGACUAGUAGAACGAGCAACAUAUUCGCUGGGCCUACCAAUGAAUUCUGGGGCAAACAAUCUUUUCUCAGUACAAUCUAAAAUUUUCAACAUGGUGAUGCAAUUUGAGUGGAGGAAGGAGAGCUUACCAGUCAAUCAAGGAUAAUGGCUAGCAUCUCUGGAGGGGAUUACUCAUCAAUUGUGUCAUGUGCUGGAAUACAUCUGCCGAUGCCAGCCUAACCUCUGCCUAUGAACUACAAUUGGGAUGAUUUUUACAGAGCAGCCAGUGAAAAUGAGAUCUUGGGGAUGGAAUGGAAAAUUUUAGAAACCCUAAGAUGAAAGCCACUAAUCAGAGAGAUCCCAUCCCAAAUCCAUGACAAAUCGACAAUUUGCAACAACAAGAAGAGGGAUUCAUGAUUCUUCACUGGCAACAAAGAAUGAAUGGAGGAACAGGGUACCUGCCCUUCGACGAUGACGCUGCACAAUCGCUGGCACACGGAACAGCGGGUGCCCGACGGCGAGGACUCGCGCGAGCGAGGCCGCAAGGGCCGGGGUGACGGGCGGGUAGUUCGGGUUGGGGCGGCGGCGCGGGAGCGGGGUGAUGCGGGGCAGGAGCCUUGUUGACAUCAAACGCGGCGGCGGCGGAGGCGAUCGGCAGCCGCGGCGCGAGGUGUACGAGCGCGCAGGCAGGCAAUGGCGGCGCGCGGGCCUCCGCUGAGGAGGAGGAGGGGAGCAGGGUGUCGGCGUGGCAGGCGGCGAGGAGGAGGCGCGCGCGAGGGCGCGGGCUUGGCACAGGCGAGGGAAAAGGGGCGGCGGCGGGCUUGUCGCAGGGGAGGGGCGGCGCGUAGGGUUCCGCGGGAAAAAAAGCCGGAGAUGAGGUGGGGGCAGGCAGCUGCUCGGUCCUCUAGCCGCCGCCGGCUGGAUGGAUGGGCGGCGACGGGGUGGGGAGGCGGCGGAUGAGUAACAAAGUACGACCACGUUUUUUUAGCUGUAGAGACUAAGUACAAUUCAGAAAAAAAGAAAAGGAAUUUUACUAGUAUAAGACAGGCAUAUUAAUUUUUUGGGCCGAAAUGCUCACGACAAAUCAUUGGGCUAGCAGCCCAAACAACCAGGUCGAUGUUUCGUUCUCGUGUUGCUAGGGCUCAGCCCGGUCGAAUCAUAGACGAUAUGUAUGGCCCAGAUGCAACGACGACUCCUUGUCCCGCCUGCCUGCCUGCCUGAUAAAAUUGAACUGCCACGCUCCAACAAAAAAAAAAAGAGAGAGAGAAAGAAUUGACUUGUGGUGCCCUGCCACGAUGUCUUGUCUGUGGCCGCGACCUACGCCAACAACCUUCUAUCCACCGACCUGUAUCCAUUGAAAGCCAGGUGUACUUGUACCCAUGUGCACGUAUAGCAUCCGAGACUGAGAGAAUUACUCCGCAACUGUAGGAGUAGUAGACGUAGAGUACAGUAUAGGAGUACGAAUACGAGUACGUACGUAUUUCUUCCGGGAACGAACGAAAGCAAAUAGGCGAAGAGGCCGUGCAGGAGCAGGACGCAGCUUUCCCAGCAGGCCCGCCGGCACACAGUCUCACUGAGUGGCCGGGACGCUGCACUCCGCCAGGCCGCCACAGCCAGCAGCAUGGCAAUGGCAUGCAUGUGACUGAUCGAGCAUGCAAUGCAAGCAAGAGGAGCUAGGGCGAUGCCAUGCAGAGAUACAGGGGCUAGCUGCAGCGCCUGCUCGCGCCCCAACGCGUGCGCCAUCUAGGUAGGAGCACGUAGCUUGGAUUCUCUCGCUGCUGAGAUGGCGCGGUCUCCUCGUCGUCAGCAAUUCUCUACCCUACGACUUUAGAGUACUGUGCUGGUGUCUCGAGUGAGCUUUUGUCUGCUACCUUUCCUCCCUUGCCCUCUUCCAAUCUUCCUUCGUAUUAAACCUAAUUAGUCCACGAUUUGAUCAUAUGAUGCUACAGUAAAUAUAUACUUAUUAGUAUCCAAAUAUUUAAUCCUUCUAAUUGGUAUUCAAAUAUCCGAUGAUCCGAACUAAAAAUUAAUCUAUGAAUUCAAACACUCUCCGGGGAACGCAGCAGCACGGGUACUGAAAGCCGUGCAUGUGAUCUUGCUCGACCAGGAGCCGCAGUAGCACGUUGGGUGUUGUGCGAAGAAGAGGUCGUCAGCCACAGAAUUUGGCCGGCCGGGACCCGGGAGGCUGCUGCUGAUCCACCAAAUUAACAAAACGAACACACGCCGCUCACCAAACGGCCUCCUCCAUGGCUCUCCAUGUGCAUCGCGAGAGAUUAGCUAGCUGCUGGUGUAGCAGGAUGUAUACGAGGUUAAUAUAGGGCCUGUUUGGUUAGCCUUGCUUAUAAAUAAGCAACUUAUAUUUAAGCAAAUAAGUUGCUUAUGACCCAAACACCCUUGCUUAUAGACUUGCUUAUAAGUUGCUUUUGCAUAAGCAAAUAAGCAAGUUUGGAGCUGCUUAUUUUGCUUAUGGGGUACUCUUUACCCCCUACCCUUCCCACUUUUCUCUCUCUCCUCCCACUUUUCUCCUUUCCCCAAAUCCCCUUCUCUCUCCUUCUCUCUCCCGGCCGGCGCUCCCACCCCGCCCGCCGCCGCCGCCGCCACCCCUCCCGCCCGCCGCCGCCGCUCGCGCGCGCGCCCGCCGCCGCCGCCCGCCGCCCGCCCUCCCGCGCGCGCCCGCCGCCGCCACCGCCCCUCCCGACCGCCUGGGCCUGGGUCGCCGCCGUCGACUCCUCCGGCGAGGUCGAGGUCUCCAUCCACAACCCCGGCGUCGCCGACGACCCGCCUGCGGCCCGCACAUCGACUCCGUCGCCGUCAAGGCACUCAACCCGCCCCGCCGGACCAACCGGAACCUGGUGAAGAACGGGGACUUCGAGGAGGGUCCCGUGGAGCUGCUGGCGGGGAGGGAGGGCGCGGUGGCGCAGGUGGUCCGGACCGUGCCGGGGCGGCGGUACGCGCUGUCGUUCACGGUCGGGGACGCCGGCAACGCCUGCCGCGGGUCGCUCGUCGUGGAGGCGUACGCCGGGAGGGAGUCCGUGAAGGUGGCGUACGAGUCGGAGGGGAAGGGCGGCGCCAGGCGCGCCGUGCUGCCGUUCCGCGCCGCGGCGGCGCGCACGAGGAUCGUCUUCUUCAGCUCGUUCUACAGCAAAUGUGAGGUGCCAGGAGCUCAUCGCGCGGUGAAGGCAGGGGUAGAGGGAAAUGGGAUGGCAGGGGCAAAUGUGUCAAUAGCAGUCUCAUUUAUUGCAAAUAAGCAACCCAAACCAAACACCUAGACUUAUAAAUAAGUAACUACAAUAAGCAAAUAAGCAACUUAUAAAUAAGCAAAGGUAAACCAAACAGGUCCAUAAACUGAUGAGACCAGCAACGUAGCUAGCUAGUACUGUAUAUGUUAAUCUCUGCCCGAUGAAACACGAAUGGUAGCUGGGCGCCAUUAAUCACACGUGUUGCGUGGUUGGCCGAGGACGAGAGGAGAGGAUCUCGGAGAGCCUGGGCCACCGCCCACCGGCUGGCCGGUGGUUGGAAUUGGAUGUCACCGGCACACGCAGCUGAUUGCCUGAUUCCAGAUCCAAUCCCGCAGCCCGGCCGGCCGGGCUCGUCCAUCCGAUCCGUCUCCAUCCAUGUGCUCCGCGCUAGGUAAGCAACCGUGCCCUACUACGGACACAUGCGUCAACUACUACCACUCCAGGUAAUUGCCAUGGAAGCAAUUGCUUAAUUCGGAUGUGCUUUGUACGUACGUGCAUGGGCUACAGCCCUUCUCUACAGACGACUCGGACGGACCCAUGUUAAGCUAGCCAUGAUCAUCGACCGACCGGCCCGUAAGUAAUAAUGCGAGCUCUUGUAUCCAUAUGACCUGUCUCCCGAUCCCAUCCUCUUCCUUUUGUUCGCUACUCCUUUCCUCGUCCACGCUGUCCGGCCUCUCUCCUGCACUGCACGUCCGUGUCCCCGUCUCUGUCCCUGUGGUUAACUUAACACUGCGGUCGCAAUGGAGUCGGCUGCUGCUGUCCUGAUCCUGCCCGCCUUGUUGGUCAAUGGCUCAAACAAUCCAGCACACGUCACCAGCAAACACGCUUGGGAUUAAUGCGCAUUUGACCGCAAUAUACAAGCUUUGAUUUGCUGGAAGCGUGCAUGGAUCCUCCUGCGACCAGCAGCUCUGCACGGUCUGGCCUGGUCGCAAAUGAUUGCUUAUGCGAGUGUCCCGCGGUUAACGGCGACGCUGAUCGCGCCAGCAGCCAGUCCAACGUGUCGGCUCUGCCAAUUUAUUUAUUAUAUAUAUAAAUAUGUAACGGCUGCUCUUCAAAUGCAUCACACGCCAUCACCUACUAGUCACUUGGCUAGGAAGUGUUUGGAAGAUAGGGGCUAAACUUUAACCCUGUCACAUCGGAUAUUUGAAUGCUAAUUAGGAGGACUAAACAUGAGCUAAUUACAAAACUAAUAUCAGAAUCCCUAGGCUAAAUCGCAAGACGAAUCUAUUAAAACUAAUUAAUCCAUCAUUAGCGAAUGCUUACUGUAGCACCACAUUGUCAAAUCAUGGACUACUUAGGCUUAAUAGAUUCAUCACGCGAUUUACCCUAAGGAUUGUGCAAUUAGUUUUUAUAAUUAAUCUAUAUUUAAUACUCCUAAUUAGUGUCAAACAUCCGAUGUGAUAGGAGCCCUAUUUCCGCAACACCCCGGUGACACAUCGAAACCGAAAUGACAUCAUCAUGGUUUACCCACCGUGUAGACCACCUACUGAUAGCUCACCCAAAACUGUCGAGGCGGGUGGCGGGAAGGAGCUUGGCGUUACCCGCCAAAUUUUACCCGGGGCAGAGGGCGGGCGGGCGGGCCCACGGUGUCAGCCUGCGCCGGCGCGGACAUCCUGUGUACGCGCCCGGUGGGGGCGCGCAGCAGUCCUGCGCAAUCCAAUUGGCGCCUAGUGGCCCAGCGCCACAGUCUUAACGGCCGGCGCCGGUCUCGAAGAGCCGCACCCGGGAGGAUACCCGCCGCGCACGCGCGCCUCUCGCUGACACGCGGGGUCCCCGUGGGAAGGGCAUGCCUUGCCACUUGCCAGAGCGUGUUGGGAGGCGGGUACGAUGAAAUGCUGGUGGCUGAAGGAAUUGCUCCGGGUGCAGAGACAUCGCAGCGAAGCACAGUUUCCGUAUUUAAUUGUGGCAGAUGUGCGUAUAAGCCCCUCGAAAGUUGGGUUAUUCACAUUUUGUAGACCUCCUCCAGGCUCGAGAGUCGAGAGCUUGCUUACUGUUGAGCAACUCAAGUUUGAGCCGUGUUGAUGACAAAAUGUCAGCAACAAAUGGUGCACUCCCAUUCCACGUUGUAUAACUGCACUUGGAUUAGAAAUCGAUAGUGUCGUAUUCUUUAGCCAAUUUUGCUCACCAGAUAUCACUAGACUUUUUAAAAAAAAAUACAAAGUGUGACAGGGUGAAUUGUGAUGUCUCAACAUAUAUAUAUAUAUAUAUAUAUAUAUAUAUAUAUAUAUAUCAUCAUUUAAAUUUGUUGAUCAAUUUUGAGAUGGCAUAUGAAUGGAUACUUAUAGGUUCCUAAUUAUCUAGUCCAAUUUCUCACAUAAUUUUUACUCUAGUAGUGAUGUACUGUGGAGUAAAUAUAUGAAAGUGAGAAUUUUUUAUUAACACAAUGUAGAAAAAAGGAUGUGCAUAUAUAGGAAAACAAAAAACUUGGAUUCCAUCAAUUUAAUGCAUGCUUACUUUCUUUUUUUUAAUAAAAGCGGAAGAGCAAGUGCAUUGAGGAAAACAAAUUAACCAACAUUCAUAACUUCCAUGACCGAUUCAUACCCAUAUGUGCUGGAGUCGUAACUUCUCUAUAGAAAAUUAAAAGUUUUUGGUCCAGCUUAGUGCAUAUUAUUUUCCACCUGCAAUUGCUCAAAUGAGUGUAUAAGAAUUUUUGAAAUCAGUGUCUAUUUUAGAAGUCCUUGCUCAACUGACUUGGUGCCCUUCUAACGGUUAAGUCCAUAUCAUGUUUCCUUUGUGUAAAGAUGUUCUUCAUCUUUUACAUCUCAAACAACGAAGAAAACAAAAUUUGUUAUGUAUUAACCGUACAAAUUACGCUACAUUAAAUAAAUCAACAUAACAAUUCAAUUGAUGUGUUUAUAGGCUUCGAGGGUUUAGGUCCUCCCCCAAAAAGAAUUAUAAAGAUAAGAAUCAUGGAUUAAAAUAUUUUCUUAAGGUGAAAAUAUAUGUUAAUGGGGAAGUGAAACCAAGAAUCAUUUUUUUAAGACCUCACCUCGUCUAUGCAUGCCUUUUUUUUAAAAAAAAACAAACCUCAUUUUGUGUGCUGACCCUAGCAAUUAUAAAUCUUCCAAGUCCUCAUGUGCAUAAAAGAACCCAAACAACAUGGACAUCCUUUGCAUCUACCAAAUUUACAAACGAGCCCAUACCCUCCGCUACCUUCUCCUGCGAGUGCCGUUGCUGCUCCCCUUCCACUUCCACCGCGCCGCGGCUUCCACUCCUCCAUCCUCCUCCCCCGCCACCAAUCCUAACCCUAAUCCACGCUCACCAAACCCUAGCUCUAAGAUCCAUCCGCAUCCUCCGCAUGCCGCGCUUCCCCCGGUGGCUGCACCGGCCGAGCUGAGCCAGACAGCCGGUCCCAUCUCUCCGCCGCGGCCGCCGUUGCAGUUGCAGCCGCCGCCAUGGGCUGCGUCUGCGGCCGCCCCUCCUCCGCCUUCGACGACGGCCAGUGCCGCACAACGCCUCCGCCGGCUGCGAAGCUCUCGGCGGCGGUGAGGAGGGAGGAGGAGGCGCGGAAGCAGCAGCAGCAGCAUGCGAGGACGGGGAGCGGGAGGGAGGAGGCUCUGGAGAGGAGGCGGGCGAUGAUGGCGAUGGCGGCGGCGUGCCAGGUCAGGAGUCCGGUGCCCAGGGCGGUGGAGGGGGAGCAGGUGGCUGCGGGGUGGCCGCCGUGGCUCGUCGCAGUCGCCCCGGAGGCCGUGCGCGGAUGGGUGCCGCGCCGCGCCGAGUCGUUCGAGAAGCUCGACAAGGUAGGACUUCCCUUCUUCAUUGCUUUGCCCCUGUUAGUUUGUUCUCUUCAGUCUUCCCAUUUUGCUCUCGCCUUUCGCCUGUGUUGGAAUCUCAGAACAGUAAUAAUUUGUAAAAUUAUGCUGUAGAUUUUGAGUUUUUUGGACUCCUAUUACUUGAUGAGAAGAUAAGCUGAGGUAGUGCUAUCUGCGAACAGAUGGGGAGCAGUAAAUGGGGAAAUGUUGAUUUACAUGGUAUUUCUAGCGACGAGGAAACAAUCUAAGAUCGCGGAUUUUUUUCAUUCUCUGGUUUGGUUUUUGUCUAUGCUUGGCAAUGGCAGCUGGGGACGAUAGGAAAAUAGUAACAUUCCGUUAUCAGUGGGGGAUGCCUUUUAUGCCGGAUGCGAGAAUGCAUUGGCAUUUUCUUUCUUUUAGAUAUUUUGUUUCUUUCAGUGGACCUUGGAACCUAGGAAUAAUAACCAUUGCUUGCAUAUUUUUCCGUGCGCGCGGGGGGGGGGGGGGGGGGGGGGGUUCUUUCUGGCAAUAGGAUGGUAUCACGAAAUGUGGUGUUCUGCUUUUUCUGCCUUUAAACUUUAGGUUUCGCUUUGGACUCUGAUGGUAGGAACUGCCUUCUGAUUGAAAAUACUUAAAAUUGGUUUUAAAGAGUUCUGGUUUGCAGUGACUUGUUGGGAUCAUGUACUCAGAUGUGCUUCACGAGUGUUGCCAGGGGUAAUUCUAAAGGAAUUAAGUCAGUGUGAAGAUUGGCAUCUAUAAUUUGUUUAUUACCUUCAUUGUACUGUUGGGGAUUGUUUUUAAUAAUUGUUCAUUUGUUUAUUCAGAUUGGUCAGGGUACAUACAGUAAUGUUUACAGAGCUCGUGAUCUCGAAAAAGAGAAGAUUGUUGCUUUGAAGAAAGUACGCUUUGAUAAUUUGGAACCUGAGAGCGUGAAAUUUAUGGCGAGGGAAAUCCUCAUUUUGCGUCGGCUUGAUCAUCCAAAUGUUAUCAAGCUAGAGGGUCUUGUAACAUCAAGGAUGUCCUGCAGCUUAUAUCUUGUUUUUGAGUACAUGGAGCAUGAUCUAGCUGGGCUAGCUUCUUUCCCUGGAGUAAAAUUUACCGAGUCCCAGGUAUGUACAAUAUUGUUGUGAUGCUUAGUGUAUCCACUGGUCAAUAUUCCUGCUACUUGUCUGUCAUAUUCUGUAUUAUGAUAUCUUAGUAUCUGAGAAAUAAAAAGAGUCUAUAACCUUGCAUGUUAGUCAGUGCAUUUUCCAAAUGAAGAGAAGCCUAGCUAUUUGUUCAAAGUAUUGUCCCAGGUAUGUACAAUGUUGUUGUGAUGCUUAGGUAUCCACCAGUCAAUAUUCCUGCUACUUUUCUGUCAUAUUCUGCACAUGAUACCUUAGUCUCAGAGAAAUAAAAGAGUCUACAGCAUUGCAUGGUAGUCAGUACAUUUUUAAUAUGAAGCGAAGCCUAGCUAUUUGUUUAAAUAUGGUCGGAACAUCCAGACAAUAAGCACCAUUGUUUUGCAGGUGAAGUGUUACAUGCAACAGCUCCUCCGUGGUCUUGAGCAUUGCCACAGUCGACACAUUCUGCACCGUGACAUUAAGGGUUCCAAUCUCUUGAUUGACAACCGAGGCAUAUUGAAGAUAGCAGAUUUUGGAUUAGCGAGUUUCUUUGAUCCUGAACAACGGCACCCUUUGACUAGUCGUGUUGUCACUCUAUGGUAUAGGCCACCAGAGCUUUUGCUUGGUGCCACAAAUUAUGGUGUUUCUGUAGAUCUCUGGAGUGCUGGCUGCAUUCUUGCCGAGCUAUAUGCAGGCAAGCCUAUCAUGCCUGGUAGAACAGAGGUAUGGUAACAAGCUCCCCUCAUUCUCAAAGCAAAUGCUGAAAGAGGAUUUCUUCAGAUAUGUUUGUUUACAAAACUAAGUUGUUCAAACUUGUCCACUGUUUCUAGGUUGAGCAGUUGCAUAAAAUAUUUAAACUCUGUGGUUCACCGUCAGAAGACUAUUGGAGGAAAUCUAAACUUCCCCAUGCCACCAUUUUCAAACCACAACACCCGUAUGCGAGGCGUGUAUCAGAAACAUUUAAAGAGUUUCCUGCUCCUGCUCUGGCAUUAGUAGAUGUUCUUCUUUCAGUAGACCCAGCAGAUCGUGGAACUGCGUUUUCUGCAUUGCAAAGUGAGGUAUUCAAUUCCCCUCUUAUACUUUUUUCCAGCCGCAUGAGACAUUUCUGUCUUAUUCUUUCAAACAGGUUAUUCUUUUUUAUCAGGCAUAACAUUUCAAUUAUCAUUUUGUUUGCCCCACUAGAAAUAUUCUAGAAUUUAGAAUUUGGACAUAUCAAAAUUAACUUAUCUUGUCCCUACCACAGUCUACACUCUAUAGUCUAUGGCAAUCAGGAAGUAUGAAUGCUCAAGUGCCAUACAUUUCUGUAUUUUGCUUUAAUUUUAUUAGAAUAUGAUGUGUAGGGCCCACUUAGUUAAAGCUUUCUCUACCCUAUUUUAUCCUUCUGUUAGAGUAAUGUGUCCAAAAGUGGCAGUCAUAGUUUUGUUCUUCUAUUUCAUUCUUCCUGCUUAAAUAAUUAACCAUGAGUGUACUGUUGUUUGUAGUUUUUUACAACAAAACCAUAUGCUUGCAAUCCUUCAAGCUUGCCAAGGUAUCCCCCAAGCAAAGAGUUUGAUGCAAAACGUAGGGAGGAGGAAGCUCGAAGGUAAGCACAGCCAACUUGGUGUUGCAUUCUAUCAACCAAUAACAUUCUUUUAAUGAGGCCAUGUUUUUUAUUGUUUGCUGAGGGUAAAUUACCUAAAGCAUUUCACUAGGUCAUGGGCACAAAACAUAUCUUCGUCGUGGCCCAUUAAACUUGAUGAACAUCAUUUUUUUUUCACAAGCAUACGAUCAUAUACUACUUCUGUUUCAUCAGAUGCAUCCACUUUAUUGGGAAUUUCAUUCACAAUAUGUAUCUGCACCUCUUGCCAUGUGUACCCAUGUUGUGAUGGUUGUUGCAAAGUUGAGUUACUAGAGCUGAGUCAUGUAACAGGGACAGCAAUUGUUUUUGAUUUUGUCUUGUUGUUCGCUCUCUGUGCCUAAGGUAAUUGGACAGAUGUGAAGCAGAGUGAAUAGGUGAAUCUGCCCAAUUCUCCCAUUCUGUAAUUCAUUACCCAACAUUCCAUACGAUCUUCUUUCUUCCCGUACCCCAACAAAAUUUAAAUUCAUUUCCCUUUUUCCUCAUGUACUAGGCUGUCAGCAAUUACUGUUUUCUAGACCUGCAUGACUUGUUUCAUAUUUUCCAUUUCCUUUGCCCAGUCCAUUUAUGUUCUUUACAUUUUAAUGCUCAAAGCAUUGUCAUCAUACUGCACUGCCUUCAUCUUUUACAAAUCAUAUCAUGCAUUUUCCAGGCAAGGUGUUGCUGGAGGAAAGCAACAUAAACAUGAUCCUGAAAGAAGAACUAGAGAAUCAAGAGCAGUCCCUGCCCCUGAUGCAAAUGCAGAAUUAGUGUCAUCAUUGCAGGUAAUACUGCCAUUCGUUGACACUUCCCUAAAUUGUCCUUUUUCAUCUUUAGCUUGGAGAUUUGUGUGUAUUUGUCUUAUCAUUUUUUAAAAAAAAAAAUUUGUCUUUUCAUUCGAAACCACAAGUAACCUGUAUUGCUGACAUUGCGUCAUGAAUGUAUUUAAUUUCAGAAAAGGCAAGCCCAGGCUAAUACCAGGAGCAGGAGUGAGAUGUUUAAUCCCUGCAAAGAAGACUCCGCAUCUGGAUUUCGAAUUGAACCACCCAGGCCAACUCCUGUUACUGAGUCUUCUGAAGACCCACAGCGUGCCUACCCAACCAGAAUCUUUCAUUCUGGGCCUUUAGUUAAUCAGAAUCACCCAUCAAAGGGUGGAGGUGUCAAAAAUGGUGAACUUCAGGUCCCUGGUGUUGCAAACCAUCCUGUGGUUGUGUCAACAAGAUCGAGUCUCCGAACGGACGACAGCAGCCGGACAAUGGCUGCUCAAGCUGAGGCAUUUGCUCAUGGGCGGAGGCUGUCUGAGUCCAUCAACGAGCAUUUCAGUAACAGUGGGAAGUACGAUCAAGUGUUCCCAAAGAAGGAUGACCGGAGCAGCAGGGUUGAUGGAGCUAUUGUAAGUAACACCCCCACAUGAAAAGGGGAAAAAAGGGAACUUAUCCUGUUUUAGCCAUGGUUACUGCGUUGUUCAUUAAGAACUGUAUUUUAUCAUGCAUAGUCAAACUUAAAAUGUAGCUUAACAAACCCAGGUCUUAGGUCAAUGAAACAUGAAAGGAUAAACGGCAAUCAGCUGAAAGAAAAAACUGACCAUGUUAUGGUUUUGACAACAGGGCUAUGGAUCGAAGGGCAACAAGAUCCACCAUUCUGGGCCCCUGACCUGCCCUUCAGGCAACGUCGACGAGAUGCUGAAGGAGAAUGACCGGCAGAUACAAGAAGUGUUCCGGAGAACGCGGGUGGAGAAGUCUAGAGCGAGGAGGGACCAUGGACAUCACCAUGGCGGCAUAAGACCUGGCGAUUUCGGUGCCAUCCCGGUGUUCCCUUCCAGCCGCUCCAGUUACCAGGCUGUGCAGCAGUGAGAACAGGUAAAGAUGAAGGUGUGUUGGGACUUGGAAUCGCCGGUGAUUUCCGAUUCCCUCCAUUCCCCUGCUGUUUUCAGGGGGGAUAUGGAUAAAUAGCACGCUACGCUAUGUACAGGGAGGAAGGACUAGCUGUGUAGUGCCUGCUCGUAUUGGAGAAACUUUGAAGGAGAGAACGGGGGAGGUGAUUUGUUUAUUGGCGGCAACUCGAGCGUCUUUAUGACGAAGUCGUGUAUCAUCAGGGUGGGGGUCUCCCUUUUUGAAAUGUUGCUGGAAUGGUAGGUGUGUUUCAGCUAAGCAAUUCUCAAACCCGAAUGUUCGAGGAGGCGAAAUUUGGCCGCCAGAGGUUUUCGCUUAGAAUAGCUGCUGCCUUGUCUUGGUCGGAAAGCACGAGUUGUCGAGUUGGUUCACCUUUUGGGGUGGAAACUGGAGCGGAUGGACUUGUUGAUUGGCUUCGGUUUUGGCGAUUUCGUGGUGGGUGUGCAGAAGAACUUUCUCAAAGAGAUGCUCGGCCUCGGUGAUUGGGUUCUUCCUUUUCUUUACCUGCUGCUUACAUAGAAGAAUGAAAUUGUUGUCACUGCCUCUAGAGUCUAGAAUCGACUACGAACGCAGAGGUGUCCUCGUGUCGUGUCUCUGUCGUCGGCCAUCGUCAUUCGUCAACUGAUGAAUCAGCACGGGCGUCCGAGACUGGCAGGGACACGUCCGUCCCCGGCCGUCUUGCCUUGCCGCACACGAGCCGGCCUCGUUUGUACACUCGGAGAAGCUGAGGUGAGCGGUGAGCGGUGAGCUCUCAGCGCCGGGCCGGGGCCUCCACUUGCGCACGGGUUGCGUCAGCGGCGCCGUACGCGAGACGCCGCCCCUUGACGUGCGACGGCGACCGGAGGAGGAGAGGAUACAAACGCCAGCGGCCGGGCGGGGCAGUGCAAUCAAACGCGCGGGCGUACGUGUCCGAGGACGGGAGGCGAAGCUUCUCCUCCGGCCCGAGUAAUGGGUCCACGAGGCGGAGCCAGUGACACAGGGCGGAGGACGCCAUGCGCCGCGUUUAGCAAAAGCUUAGCGCGCAAGGGUCAGAAGCGACGAUGACGCGCGUGGAAAGUGGAAGAAGAAGUAAAGAAGAAAGACACCGUGCCGAGGUCAGCGACGCCAGUUUUCCACUGGCGCCGGUACACGAGUCGUGGGGUGCCCGGCCGUCGUCCCGGACACAUAGUACACCAAAUUCGGUCACGUGCGAGUCGCGAGAUAAAUCUAUUAAAUCUAAUUAAUUCAUGAUUAACACAUAUUUAUUGUAGUAUUACAGGAUCAAAUCAGGACUAAUUAGAUUUAAUAGAUUCGUCUCGUAAAUUUAUCUUCAUUUAUACAAUUGAUUUUGUAAUUAACCUAUAUUUAAUACUGCUAAUUAGUAUCUAAACAUUCUAUGUGUAACGUGGACUUAACUUUAGUUAACAAACCAAACGGACUUGAAUCAACGUCUCCCAACCUAGCUGACUGUGCAGUUACAGCUUGGUCGCUUGAAUGGCAUGGCAAUCUGCAGGCCUGGCAGACAGGGGCGGACGACACGUCUCUUGUCCGGGCAUUCUCAGCCAGGCAAACUCCUAGAACAAAAGCAGGUGUCUUUCCGGGGGGAGACAGGAGGGAAAGGCUGGACAGUUUUUCUUUUUACCUGCUAUGGCAAUGACGAUUAACAAAUUUGAUUAUCUCGAGAGCCACAACUAGGCAAAGCAAAUCUUCAGUUCGCCUCAGCAAGUACUCUACCUAUUUUUAUUUCCUUUGUUUAUCUUUGUUCCCACAAGCAAAGCUAAGGAACUGGACUUGCAAUCCCAAGUAACAAUAGAAUAGUAGUAGCGAUGAUGACAGGUGCUGCAGGGAUAUCGUGUUGUGCCUGUGUAGUCGAAAGAGAAGCAGCGCGUGGUGUGCAUGGCAUCGGCAUGGCGGGUUGCGUACGGAGACCUCGUGAGAGACCUGAGGCGGAUGGCCGGGGAGGUUACGGCCGUGUUGCCGAGGCCGUUGCCACUUGCCGCCACUCCAUAUUUUUUUUUGUUUAUUAUUCUAUUUUUCUCCCGCACACCAGCCUACCUGUAUAAAAAGGUUUCGCCUUCUCGCGGCAUCCCUGCAACCAACAACUGUUCUCCGAAAAACUUGCUCUCGUCGCCACCUCCUGCCCAUCCUCCUCCUCCUCCUGGACUGGAUCGAAUCGAUCCAAGCUACUUCUCUCUCUAUCCCCGGCCAUCCUCCUCUCUCUCUAGACUAGAUCCAUGCCAAGAAAACCACAGGGAAUGCAAGUUGGUGAGCGUUCCGAGUAAUUGCUGAUGCGAGUUGAUCUGCUCGUCUCUCUGUCGUCAAUCUCCAGGUUGUUGGACUCUCGAUCGCCGUUUGAAGUGGUCUCAUCUUAAAUUUGCUGCAUCUUUUGAACCGGUUCUCUUGCUCUAUCUCUCUCCCAGCUUACUGGUCAAUAGGCAAAUAGUUUCUCGAUCGGAAUUAUCCUGGGGCCGACCGGGUCAUCUUCAUCUCCUAUCGCAAGGUCUUUUCGGUUGCAUCAGCAGCAGCGUCGUAACCAAACCGUCUUUGAUCGAUCCGCCCCGCAAUUCAAUCCCCUUUUUGACAUUGGUCGUCGUCUCCCUCCUACCUACGAGUUCGUUCCUUGCAUCUUCCUUGCUCCUCAUCGAUCGUCAGGGCUCUCCAUCAAAAGGGCCGUAGCGUACGUGGGCGCGUGAUCAGCCAUGCAGCAGGAGCUAUAGCACCCCCAUCGGUUGUUCCGUAAGAUCGAAUCUCGCCGCUGCUCGAUCGAUCGUUCGGUCGGUCGCUGGUGGUGUUGCGCCGGCGGUAGAUCGAGAGGGCGGCGCCAACGCCAUGCAGGCGAGCGCCCGCGGCGAGCAGCACUCGCCGAGGUCGUCGGCGGCCAAGUCGCCGUCCCCCCGCGGCGUCGGCGGCGGCGGGGGCGAGCAUUACUCGCCGUCGCCGUCCAAGACCCCGCGCGGCGUCGGGGCGUCCCUGAAGCUGCUGCCGAGCAGCGCGGCGUGGCUGCUGGACAGCCGGUGGGCGCUGUCCGCCGCGCUCAGCCUGCUGCUGUUCCUGGCCGUCGCGCUCGCCCUGACGUCAACCUCGUCGUCGUCGCCGUACGCCUCCGCGUCGUCCUUCUUUUCCUCCUCCGAUUCCGUGGAGGCGCACGUCAUCCAUGCGAGCCAGCAGCCGGAGGCCGCCGCCGCCGCCAACGCUUCGCCGCCGCCGCCUCCGCCCGGCGCCGGGCUGCCGCGGCUGGCGUACCUGAUCUCCGGGUCGAAGGGUGACCUGGAGCGGCUGUGGCGCGCGCUGCACGCGCUGUACCACCCGCGGAACCAGUACGUGGUGCACCUGGACCGCGAGUCCCCCGUUUCGGAGCGGCUGGCGCUGGCGGCGCGCGUGGCCAACAGCACCGUGUUCCGGCGCGCCGGCAACGUCCACGUCAUCCGCCGCGCCAACAUGGUCACCUACCGGGGCCCCACCAUGGUGGCCAACACGCUGCACGCCUGCGCCGUCCUCCUCCGACGCGGCGGCGCCUGGGACUGGUUCAUCAACCUCUCCGCCUCCGACUACCCGCUCAUGACGCAGGACGGUAUGUACGUCGCCGUCGCCAUUGUCGUCGUCGUGCGUGCUCGAGUACACACAUACACACACAUCACAGUCAAACCGAUUCACCAUUCACCUAUAUUAUACUAUACCAUUAGCUUGACGCUUUCUUCUUUAGCUGACGAAUUCGACCAUCGAUUUUUAUGACUUGAUUGAAUUGUUUAUACCUGACUAAUGCAAACAAAUUGACUGGUGGCAGAUAUCUUGCACGUGUUCUCAACGGUGCCCAGGAACACCAACUUCAUCGAGCACACCGGUUACUUAGGCUGGAAGGAGUGAGUAGCUGCUUGCUUUCUCCAUGGCUCUUGGCAUAUUUCCUGUGUCGAAACUGAAACUGAAACUGAAACUGGAUGAUGAUGAUGAUGGCAGGGGUCAGAGGGGUCGGCCUCUGAUCGUGGACCCUGGGCUUUACGGGUCUCGGAAGCAGGACAUCUUCUGGGUCUCCCAGAAGCGUGAGCUCCCGUCGGCGUUCAAGCUCUUCACGGGUUCGGCGUGGGUGGCGCUGUCGCGCGACUUCGUGGAGUACACGGUGUGGGGUUGGGACAACCUGCCCCGGACGCUGCUCAUGUACUACACCAACUUCGUCUCCUCCCCGGAGGGCUACUUCCAGACGCUGCUCUGCAACGCGCCCCGCUUCGUGCGCACCGUCGCCAACCACGACCUCCACCACAUCCAGUGGGACGUCCCGCCGCGCCAGCACCCGCACGCGCUUGCCCUCGCCGACAUGCCCGCCAUGGUCAGCAGCGGCGCGCCGUUCGCCAGGAAGUUCCCCAGGGACGACCCCGUGCUCGACGCCAUCGACGCCGACCUCCUCGGCCGCCCGCCGCGCGCCGGCCCUACUAGUGCUGGCGGCGGUAAUGGCACCGUGGCGGCGGCGGCGACGACGACGCAACGGUUCGUGCCAGGAGGGUGGUGCGGCGGCGACGCGAGCUGCGGGGGCGUGGACAACGACUGGGUGCUCAGGCCGGGGCCCGGCGCCGAGAGGUUCCAGAGGCUCAUGGACAGGAUCGUCAGGUCCGAGGCCUUCCACAACAGGCAGUGCAAGUAGUAAUACUACAGUAGAUCAUAUAUAUACUUUGUGUUUCGUUGCAGGCUCAUCUUCUCGAUAGCUCACCUUCUGUGUACAAACAAAGCACCAACAGAUUGGAACAUGUAGUAGAGAUCACGGAUCAUCAUAGUAUACAAACAUAAACCCUAGUCGAUCUAGUUUUCCGAUUUCAGUCUCAUGUAAGAACAGGUUGUGUGAUCCUUGCAUGAGACUGGUGUGUGAAGCGUCUUCUUGACCUACUGCAGCUGUCCUGAUUGAUUCUUUUUUAAAGGAUAGACUUACAGGAAUGGUAUCCCCUGUCCGUAUGUUUUAUUGCAGCAGGACCAACCUGUUCCACAUUGUCUUACAGCACAAAGAAGCUUCAGCAGCAGGGAGCAUCGCUCCUGCUCAAAUUCAUACAGGUUCAGAACAUAGCCAUCUGCUACCCCUAGCAUCUACUGAAUGCAACUCUGAAAAAUAGAAGUCAGACCUGGUAGCAGCUUGGAGCCACCAGCACCAGUAGCUCCAGCAACUCAUCAGAUGCUAAGAUCAGUCAUCAAGAGGCACAGUUAUGAACUUGAUUCCCCCUUACUCGUCCCGUCUUCAACUGAACUUUGAAAAAAUGCAGUGAUGCCAAAAUAGCACAGUGCUCACUGAAACUCCCUGGAGGUUUCCACGACACAUGAAAGAAAAGUUCCUCUGUUUCUGGAUUCAGUUUGUGCUCUGUUCUUCGAACAGCCUAAAACCCUUCGUGGUGAUGCUGAAUGCUCCUGCCCCCCAUGCUGAGGAGUGAUGUCUAUUUGAUUUCAUCGGCUAAAAGCAAGCUUCAGCUCUUAGUUAUGGCAGGGGAACAAGUCUGCAGAGCUGAUCUCCCCAGUGAAGAAUGCAUAAACGUACAACACCACAAAGAUAUUUGAGUCGAAAUUUUCUCCCAGAGCUAAUCCAAAGUCUCACCAAAGACAAUAAUACUCUGAGCAUGGCCAACACUAUAAUUUCAGAAACAGGUAUCCAAACACACCUUACCAGAAUCUCACCCAAAAAUAAUGAAUUCACCAAAAUAGUAUGGUCUAUACUAUAAUCUGCGACCUCAAGGAUAAUGGAACCCUAGCAAAGCAGCGACCAGAUGUCGCUGUCUCAGGUACCAGCAUCAUGAUGAGAAGAACGGCAGCUGCUAAUAAUAGAAGGGUACAAUAAUUGAAUUAACAAUGCCCUUUCCCAAAAGACAGCCUCUGAGUCAACUCUGCAUAUGCUUUUCUUUUGCUAUCUUCGCCUCAAUUAGUGAGCAUUAUAUAGAAAGACUAAUAAUGAUGCUCUAUUUUUCCAAACGAUGCUAUAGUGUCAUAAGCAUAACCUGCAGGUAAAUUUAACAAGGGGCCAUACCGAGUGCAAAAGGCACGAUCAUAUACAGCUAUGAGCUAUUGUAAAAUCUAUAUUCAAAGACCACUGGAUAAACUCCUGCAAGCAUCCUAGAAAACAGGUUCCUUGAAUCAAGGAUCCUUUCUUUUCCAAAGCACAAAAAGAUAAAACUUAAGCUAAGCUACUACUGAGCAUACCCAACCGGAUAAAACUACGGCUGCAAAGAUGCUACAAGAUCUCGGGUACUCAGUUGCUCUGCGCUGGUUUCAGUUUCUGAAUCCACUGCAGGAGACGCUUCUUGGGAUCCUGGCAGGUGCCACUCUUCGGUAUGUCGAGGCAGCCGCCCUGCGAGAGAGUGGAAUGGAACUGUUCCAGGACUUUCACAAUCUGCCAGAAAUCGGGCCUCUUGUCAGGCUGCAAUGCGCAGCACUGCUCAAUCAGGGGUCUGAGAGCCGAUGGACAUUUUGGAGGAAUUGUUGGCCUCAAGUUCUGGAAAAAAAAUCAGUCAUGUGAGAAAUGCAUACGCUUCAACAGUCAUUGUGCCAAGAAAUUCUCUUUAGUUGUUGUACUCAAAGCAGGAAAGAAAUCAUUACCCUAUUGGCGACGGCAUAAGCCACCUGGAAAGGGGUCAGGUUCUCGUAAGGAAUUCUCCCAGACACCAUUUCCCACAGGAGCAACCCAAAGCUGUAGACAUCCACCUUUCGGUUGUAUGCCUUUUGCUUGAUCAUCUCAGGAGCCAUCCACCUGUAAGUGCCCUCAUCAUCCACUAGCACAUCACAUAAAGUCUCCUCACAGGCGAUACCAAAAUCAGCAAUCUUCACACAGAAGUUGUCAUCAAAGAGAAUGUUUUCAGGCUUAAUGUCGCGGUGAACAAUCCCUUGAGAGUGUAUGUACUCCAAACCACGGGCAACAUCGAGAGCAAUGGAUAUGAUCUUCUCCAGAGGGAUGGGGUGGUUCUCAGUGCUGUUUAGGUAUGACCUUAAGGAGCCUCCAGGAAGGAACUCGGUAAUAAUGUAAAAAACUGGUCGGCAUUUAUAGGCUGCCACAAGCUGCAUUAACAGAAAACUGAUCAGAGAAGGGUAGUUGCAUAACAAAGCAAAUCAACUCUGCAUGCAUGUGAAAGGCGUAAUCGUAAGCUCAACUCAUUACAAACAAUCAACCAUAAACAUACUCAUAAAUAUUCUAAGCACUAGAGUACACUACAACAGUAAGAUCAGUUCUGAUGUUCCUAAGAAUACACCAAAUAUGAUCAAUUUAAUGUUCCUAAGAGCGGUAACAUCAGCUUAAGUUGUUUCUGAAAUAGUGUGAACAACUUGACAAGCCAUUAUCAGCAGCACUAACUUAAACUGGUCAGAUUAAAAUGGUCACGAUAAGAUAAAAAGUAAAACCAACACACACGCACUUGCACAUAUAUGUAUUAGGAGAUAUAAGUUAAGACUAUGCAGCAACUGAGCUACCAACAAAAGGCUGACCACACAUAUUCAUGUUAAUGGUUACCUUGAUUACAUUCUUGUGGUAAAGGUGAGAUAGUGAAUUUAUCUCACUGUUAUACUGCUUCUCAAGUUUUGCAGCCAUCUUCCCAUUGUCGUCAUCAUCAGGUUGUCGGAUAAAUUUAAUUGCAACUGGUUUAUCAUCAUAGACGCCCCUGUACAGCCGGCUAUAUGCCCCACUAGCAAACCUGUGCCCAACGAGCAGCUUGGAUGGAUCGAGUGUCCAAUCGACUGCAGUUUGCACCGCCUGAUUCAUUCUAACCAUUUGGGCCCUCCGAUCAUCAGCAGGGUUGACUGCACUGACCCUCCUUCCACCACUGUAUUUCCUUGCCCAAGAAUUGUCCUUUUGAGACUUGUGCUUACCAGAUACCACUGGAGUUGAGCACCAAUCAGGACUUUUACCCAUAUCAGACACCUGCCUAGCAAAUGAUUUUCCAUAUAUGCUCUUUUCGGAUCCUCUUCGCUGUGGAGGAGGGCUUGAAAACCUCUGGCUGCUAGACUUUGCUUCCCUGAACACUUCAGAAGGCGCAAUACUAGGAAGGGGGGACUUCGAUCUCGGUCGCUGCUGGGGUCCAUAAGCCUUUUGCGGACUAGAGCUUUGGUUUGAGGGAGCCUUGUUCAAGUAACUGAGGAGCAUCAUUGAACUUGGGCUCUUGACCAGGCUCCUGGCUCUUGGACCCCGGCAGUUCUCUGAGUUCAUUGGAGGGCUUGAAGGAAUCUCCAAAGUCGCCCUCUUCGGUUUGUUGGACUUGUCCCUAUCAAGCUGAAGCGAAGAUCGGACUAGAGGCAAGCUAUCACAGUGCUUAAGUGCAGUCCCUGUACCUUCAUCAUCCCGAUGAACGGGCAUCGACACAGACUUCCCCAUACUCACAAACUUCUGCAGUUUCCGCUCAACAUCCUUGCCAAGUGGAGCGAAAGGUACCACCACAUCCUUGCCAACCGGAGCAACAGGUACCCUUCGAGGAUCCACUCUUGUGUAGACAGUGUGGGAGAACUUGGUCCUCCUAAGCCAUGAGUUCUGCUCCUCCAUAACGACAAAAUAAGGAAGCCAAGAAACACUGCCACAAGUGAUCAGAUUCCAACUUUGGAAGUCUGGAUCCAUAGAAACCACAUGUUGAAGUGGAAUUUUGAGGAGAAAAAGAAUCUGUCACUGGAAACACCAACAAAAAGCCAUCAAACCAGGAAUCGCGGGGGCGAUUCCUUGGCCCAUUUACAGUCGAAUUCUUGCAACAAGUUGUGUAUCAUACAGGUAAUCUACAAGGGCCCGGAGCUUGCCAAGUACAGGCAAAUGGAUCCUAGAAUUUGCAGAGCUUGUUGGAGGAGGCAGUCACAUAGAGGGUUCCCCAAGAAUCCUAAAAUACAACAAGAGGGAGGCACAAUUGUAAACUGAACCGGUUGAGCAACAGCAACUAUUAUAUUGGCAAUUAUUGUAAUAGAAACAUGUCUAGUUCAAUGAACAGAGCCAAAGCAAGUAUCCAAUAUUUGGUUGGAAAAAAUACACACACAGGACUUGACCCUUUCUAAUGGCACUGUGAAAAAAAAACAUGCAUGAAAAGGGGUGCAAACGCACGGUUUUUGACAAAUGCAUUCGUUGAACCAUGAGAAACUGCGAGAGCUAGGACGACCAGAUAAAGCAGGACAUCUGAACAUCAGUUGGAUUUGUCUGUGGUUGACCAAUUGCUAGACGGCGUACAGAUCUAUCAUUGUCAGGUUAGUGACUUUUCAUGGGACGACACAUCAAACAGUGAGCAAUUCUUGCGGGAAAUUCUUGAGUUAAACGCAAAUGCCAAACAAAGAACAACUUAUCCAAAAGUAACGUUCAAUUAUGAGAUCGUGACUUCUCUUCUUUCUACAAAAGAAGGACAGCGAAAAAGAUUGUGACUUCCUCUAAAAUCAUAACCAUCAGGCAAACACGUCUUAUGUAAAAUCAUGAGGCAAUUUUAAAAUAUUUCAAUCCGUCAGCAAAUGCAAACCUCGAACAGGGUUGCGGAUCGAAACUCAAGGCGUGUAAACACGAUUGCCCCCAAGGAAACCAAUCCAAAACAUAAAGGUAAAAACUUUAACAACAACAGAAAAGAUCAGUCACGAACAGCAAAUCCGCAAUCAAAUAGCUUGCCUUUUCAGCGGAAAAUCGAUCAAAAACUCAAGAAGAACUAAACUGUUAUAUAGAACACUGAUCGGAGCAGAAACCUCCGGACUAUCCCCACAAACAAAUAAAAGUCUUUACGCCCACAAAGAUAGGACGAGAAAGAAACUAACCUUCCAGGGAUUGCGGCGGAUAAAGCACGCCGGAAAACCGGAUCAAAAUGCCAGCUUCCACACCGCUGUUGCCGCUCGAGGUAGGCGCGCAGCAACCAGAGCAGAAGAAGUGGAUCGAAGAGGACAGGAGGAGCCGGUGGGGCGGGGAUAUCAAGAGCGCAUUGAGGGCGCGCACCAGAAAAGGGCCCGUGCCGCCGUGCGUACUGCACACCCUGUAACGCGGCCUCGUGCCGGUGGGAUAUACAGGCUCCCUCCCAACUCCACUGCUCCUCCUCCUGGUCCAAGCUCUCUUCUGUUCUACCGAUCUCUAACGCCUUGGAGGGUUUCGUUGACAAUAUUGGGAGGCGCAGGGGCUCGUACCUGAACGGGGGAGAAGAACUGAAGAGGAGGAGGAGGAGAUGGGAUUACGCAAGGGCGGCGCAGGCUACAAAUCCAGGGAGCCGCGGAUUUUUCCUCUCUUGUUGGGGGUAGUCUGGACAAAUAGAGAUAGCUUUGUGUCUUUCUGCAAAUACGGAAAGACUGGAGGUGAGGGUAUUGACGUAAAUGCGUAAAAUGUUCAGGGUGGAAUGUGAAUAGAGAUUGCAGAGGAGUCAACGUCUCGCUGCAAACCGCAGAGGCAGCCAAGGGGAGGGGAUUUGUGGUGGAGUGUAGGGCAGGGGUGGCGAGAGAGGGACUUCAGAAUUGGGGAAUGUCAAGCUUUUUUCUCACAUAAAAAGUGGUUAGGGUUUUUUUUAGUCCUCGUGACCUCUCCUUUUCGACAUUCUUUGCGUCUAUUAUUGGUGCUAUUGGUAGGGAUCCUCCAUGGCAAAGGAUUUAGUACAUCACCCUUCGUUGUUGUCUCUUCUACCAUGUUAUCUUCUUUUAUCUCGUUUUGUUUGAGUUUUUCUAUUAAAAAAGUUAUCAGCUUUUUCAUAAAGGUACCAGUAUCGGUUUGCAUUGACUUGCAAGUAAUUUAUUUUGUAUGUUGCUCAAGCUUUUGCAUCCUAAAGAUAAUUUGACCUGCGAGACAGAGACAUGAUAAAAGGAAUGUCCAAAUACACUGAAUUAGCAAACAACUUUAGGAAGAUGGUACAAUCGAUUAAAAUAAGAAUUUUAGUCUACAGCUUUACGGAUCAUGAUCACAUCUUCCUACAGUACUUCCUAAAAUACAUGUACUUCAACCAUAUCACACUAUGCUCUUAAAACAUUAAUGGCUAGUAUCAUACAAAAUGUGAGGCGGCGAAUAUGUCAGUAAUGACGUUGAGAACUAGGAAGCUCUGGAUCAAAGGGAUGCGAAUACACGUGAUGAGGAAAGGAGAUUGAGGAUGGUGUUGAUACUGGCUAAUAAUGGUGACAAAUCCACAAUAAAAUGUUGACGCGAAGAAUACCCAAAAAAAGAGGAUAGCCACAGUUAAUCCCACAGAUGUAGAAGAAAUGAGGUAUUUAACAUAUUAAAUUAUGAAAGUAAAUUGAUCAAUCUAGGACCAAAAAAAUAUUCUUUGGAGUACACGAUCAUCAUAGUAGGAGCUUGUGCCAAAUCUGUGGUCACACAUGUAGACUUUUCUAACUAAUGAAAACACAAACAACAAAUAUAUGAUAACGCUAACGCAGAUGAUUACGUGUAGCAUACAAGAGAGAGUGUUGAAUAGUAGCAUACAAUAUUCUACGAAAUAACAUAGCAUAACUAUUGAGAAUAUAUUGUACUACUUUGACCCAAUCCCAAUCGCAUCUCAGACUAGGUCUAACUAAUUGCGCAAUCACAUGCUCAAUUUUAGGGAUGCCAAAACUGUUGGACCUGGGGAUCACUCAGCCCAAAGAUUCCUGCUGCACCGUUCACACCUCAAAGUCCAUGCCACGGAAGAUCCCCAGCUCAUACAUUUGCCUUUAGCUUUCUUUAUCUGCCCAGGCAUUUUUCUAUGGCCUGCCCGGCCUUGCCUCACCUCCAAUGGGACCUGGGCGCGUGGCAAUUGGCAUCAUUUCGAGACGAAAGGAGAACAAGGAAGCAAACACUGCCGCCGCUGUUUGUCUAUUUCGUAUGUGCCUCCCAGUCCGUGGCCACUACUGGGGCAGGCAGUGCCAAAAGGCUGAUAGAUCCUGAAGAAUUGACAGUUUCAGAAAUGGACAAGUGACAAAUUCAGAGACAGAAAUGGUUGUGGCACUGCCAUUUGAGGUUCAGAAGUGUUUAUUGAAAUUGUUUUCACAUGUUUCCAUGACGUGAAAUUGUCUGGUAGGAAGCUUUGGUGUGUAAAUCUAGGAAUUCUCGCAAUAACCUAGUCCAAGAUUUCAUCAUGAAGAAAUAACCGAGCUUAAAAAAUAAUUUGAAGCAUGAAAGCCCCCAAAUGGAAAUUUCUGCAUUCCCAUGGCUCAUGUAUUGAUUCAUAUCUUGACCACAGGGUCACCUCUUUCCAUGCAUGCAACUCAGUCUCAGUGCGUAAUUGUUAUCAAAACUAAGAAUUAGAUAACUGUGCCAGCAGAGUGUCGUGGGGUUGAAACUCCUCUUACAUCUAAUGAAACUCUCCUCUUAAAUGACCUUGCCAAGUCAACAAAUUGCUGAUGUGGUAUAAAAUUUAAUGCCUAUAAAACUCCACCGAAACUAGCCUUAGGCUCAAGGUGGAAAUUAUCUUUAAAAUAGGUCCUUGUUCAAUUGCUUUGGCGAACAAGUCUGAUCAAGAUUUGACCAGCGUGGCACACAUAUCUGACAUCUACAUCUAGCUACAAGUACUCUUAUAGCAUCCUGAUGCAUGAAACCAAAUGCGUCUUCACUUGAGUAACCAGUGAUGAUAGGACGAUCCAAAACCAAUUAGCUACAAUCCCGUAUCAUCUUUUUUUAAAAAACCUACUAUCAUAUCAUUUCAUCCAUUCACCGAGAGAAAGCCGUCCAACUGAAGAUCAGAUCACUAAAAUCAUUCUACGAGGUCAAACGUGUUACUCUGCAAAUAACUUUAUAAAAAUAGAAAGAUCUCCAUCAACCAAAGACUAGUUAAUCAUUUGUGAGAAAGCCGGUUAUUAUUAAUAUACCGGACGGAACUUGGGAUCCGACAUGAAACGCACAUUUCGAUAAAAUUACAUUAUCGUACCGUGGGGGGAGAAGAAACGGAGCACCGACGGUCGCCGUCAUCGUGGACCGAAUCACCGACCGAUGACCGAUCCCUUGGUUGACUCACGGCCGGCUGACUUGUGGCCGGGUGGUCAAAUGUACCGCAGCGUCCAUUUCUCUUUUUACCGUACAGGCGUGCACGAGAGGGGGCAAAAAAAAAAAUCUUUCAGUCUUGUCUGCCAAACGAAAUAACGUGACAUGUUACCCACGUACAGUACAGUAGUAUUAGUUUUUUGUGAGUUGUUUUCGAUCGAAAAGUUAUUGUUGGAUCCACGGGCCUAGGCCCACUGCGUUGUUGCUUUGAUGAUGGGCCAUGGCCUAGUAAUAUGGCCAGUUCACUUGGACAUCCAGGCCCAUUCUGGUACUCUCUCAGCCAUGUUCCAUCCAAUUGGGCCAGUCAUCAUCUUUGUGUUCGUUCUCCCGUAUCAGGGCUGCUGCUGCUGCUGCUGGGCUGAAAAAAACCAUUUUGAUGAUGAGAUUAUGCUGGUGCUCCAAAAUCCAAAUCCCCAACCAAUCAGUGAGCGGAGCAAUUAUUCAGGCAUGCGAACUGUUGCUGCCGACGCAUCACUGUCGCAGAGGAGGCUCCCCUCCAUCAGUCCGCUGCUGGUCCUGCAGGAUCAUGCGCCAUGGCAAGUGCGUGUGGGGGCGAGCUGUGCCCGGUGGCCGCCGCCCGCCCUCCCGGCUGGAGCUCGCGAGAUCGAUGCGAGGGUCACAUGGCCAUGGCGUGGUACUUGCGCUCGCGAGCACCCCCCAGUCCGACCUGGACCACCCCGCCCCCAGCGACUCUCAUUGGACACGCUACCGCAUCGGCGCCCUGGCCUGCAUGUCCAUUUCAAAGAUGAAAAAAAAAAACCCUUUUAUUUUCCCUUCCGCUCUUUCAGAAAAAGACGGGACCCUCUCAUCUCAGUAUCUCAACAUCUCAUCACGCAAAAUGGGAUGAAAAGCUACUGCAUUCCGUAGUAAUUUCGCAACAAAUUCCUACUCCGAAUCCUUAUGUUCCAAACAGGCGUAUUUACACGUGGGGCCUCGAAUCAAAACUUUAUGGUAGCUGUCUGUCCUCCAUGCGUUGACCCCGUCCUUUUUCCGCUAUCUGUAUCGUGCAGGUCAACCGCUGGUUAUUAGGCGCGAGAGCACACAGUGAGAUCCUCGCACUCGCAGCAAACACAGCUUAUCCCCGUGGCAUGGCAUCUCUACCUAACAUUUUUUUUUCUCUGCUCUCGAGCUUACCUUAUUCUUUACAUGUCAGUGUAGCAACACUGUCAGGUACUACAUGAUCACAUAUUCACAUAUAUAAAAAUAUGCAUAUAUAUAUAUAUAUUAUUUAUGAAUCUCCUGGCCGGCCGUGUUCUUCAUCUUGGCUGUGGGUGCGUGCUGACAUGGGCGAGAUUCCGAAACAUCCGCGGAAGGCAGGCAGCAGCAGCAGCAGCUUUGAACAACCUGCUGCCCCGGUUGCAUGCAUCAGCACGCAGCACACUGCGGCCUCAAGAACAAGGAUUGAGGUGCUGCGUGGAAGCUUUGGUGCGUCCCUGCUCCCCACUCCUUUUUUGCCGGAUCGGAUGCCGAAAUGUUAGUUUAAUCAGGCAGACGUCGUCCGCACUGCCCUCUGCCCUGCCUAAUCUCGCAAUGAUUUGGAAUUUUGGAUCCUUAGUUCUUGCCUCUCAUACUUUUCAACAACAACAAAAAAAAAAGUUCUUUGCUUCUCACAUUGACAGUUCAGUAGUUUGUAUAACGAAAAAAGACCUGCUUUCGGCAGUUAAAUUCAUCCUAGUAGAUGCCAACAUAAUUUUUUCUAUAUCAAGAUAUGCAUGAUAUAUAGUCGAUGUCUGGUUGGUUUGGUUUGAUUUGAUCCAGUUCGAGUGGAGCAGCCGGCUAUUAUUGCAAAUCUCACUCGAUCGAAAUGCUGUUUAUUUUAAGCUGUAGAUAUUUUUGUCCUGCUUUUUGGACAGUAUCAGAGCACUUCUUCGGUUCUUCCCUACUAGUAUUUCUAUCUUGUCCAGGGGAAUGGAAAUAACUGAACAAUACAUUUUUUUUUUACUCUCAGUACGUUUUACCAUCAUGAUGGCAACAACGGCUCGAUCGAUGUUGCGAUUCCGACCAAUUUAAUGGGUACAUUUGAUACCAUCACGUAGCUUUUAUGUGAUGACUGACCGGUACACAGCAUGGUACACAAUAGUACGUACGUAUCCGGAAUUCAAAUCAACAUGCCACUACGUAGCAGUUAGCACGCCCUUUUAUUUGUCGAAAAAUGCGCACGAUUUGAACAAACUUUGUGAAAAAAAGGAGCUGUACUUUGUAUUCUACGCUGCAGCAUAGGGAGUUCGAAUUUGAGAUGCAACGCGGCGGCAGUACUUUGUAUUCAUGUGAUGCGCGCGCCCGCUGUAAAAGCGAACGCCAUGCAAAGCUGACGGCGGCGUCGCGUCGGCGAUGUGACGGCGUCGGCUUUCGCUGUGCACGCGCGCUGCUAGCUGCAGCCAGCGUGCCGCCGUCACCCGUCAGCCCUGAAACCGAGUCAUCCUGCAGUAACUUUUGCGCGUGAGUGAAAGUAACCCACCGAAUCAAGGGCAUGUUUUAGUUGGAAAUUUGGGAGGGGUAAAAUUUGCAUUUUGUCAUAAAUGCGUAACUGUAGCAUUUCGUUUGUAUUUGUAAAUUAUUGUCCAAAUAUUGACUAAUUAGGCUCAAAAGAAUCGUCUCGCAAAGUACAACAAAACUGUGCAAUUAGUUUUUGAUUUCGUCUACAUUUAGUACUCCAUGCAUGUACCGCAAGUUUGAUGUGAUGAGGAAUCUUCUUUUUGCAUAGUGCUAAAGUUGGGAAUUUGGGAGUAACUAAACAAAGCCCAAUAUGCAGUCGAUUCCUUGUUUACAACGUGCGGGAUAGUCAGCACUAUAGUCAGCGUGUGCCAUGGUCCGUUAUUUUUCAUGCGGGCCUGGUCAGUCACGACGACUCCGUCGUGCCAUACCGACCCACAGGCCUCACCGGCGGUCCAAGCACGAGCCCAUAAGAUCUUUUUCGUGUAGGGCCGGCCCGAACAACCCGACCAUUUUGACGUGCCAUGCCGGCUCGCAGCCCAUUAAGAGAAAAAACACUUCACCAAGUGACGGCUCCAUAGACUCGGGGUUCUCAAUGGGACUGCCUUUCCGCAACUCAUAGCCCAACAAGAGGCACAACGACAAUGCACGCCUGGGCCAGCCUAGAUAUGCAACGCUAGGCCAAGACCUCUAUCCGACCACCGACUGGCGCCUCCGACCAGGAGGCCUGGUUGGGGCCAGGACCAAAGUCCGACCCAAUCAAGCUCCCCCAACUGGGGAUAUACCGAACCGACUCACACCGCUCUCCUGACCGACAUGGUAGGCACCGAUCGGGACGACCGACCGGGGACGCCCGCUCAGUAUGGGCCCGGGAAGUAGGUGAAAUGGAUAAGGAAAGUCACUCAGGUCAACUACCGUAUAGAAGACCGUACCCCCAACUGGGGAUAUACCGAACCGACUCACACCGCUCUCCUGACCGACAUGGUAGGCACCGAUCGGGACGACCGACCGGGGACGCCCGCUCAGUAUGGGCCCGGGAAGUAGGUGAAAUGGAUAAGGAAAGGCACUCAGGUCAACUACCGUAUAGAAGACCGUACCCCGCCACGCCCUAUGCACAUACCACACAGUGCCAUCGUGCCAUGUCAGGCAGACAUUGUGCUACUUGCCCGCCACAACGGAGCUUGAACAGGGAUGGAGGGCGAUGGCCAUACCGUACUCGAUGACGUGGGCAACGACAAGACUAGGCAGCACCCGUACACACACUCUCUCUCUGACUGGUAAGGCUGUUUGUCCCCUUGAACUAUAAAAGGGGACGGGCCCCUCCACAUCUGGAUAGGCGAGACACACGAGAGAUCGCACGAGAUCACACACGAAGCACAUCAAAAACCUAUUGACUCUCUCCAGCACAUAGCGCAUGAUUCAAGCCCACCGUCACUCUCUUCCACUCGGAUUAGAGCACGACCGGGUCUCAAACACCCCCUUCUCAUUCCUUACUCGUUUGUAUCCCCACUGCAAACUUCGAGCACCUGGGCUAUGGGCUCAGGAAUACAGUCAACUGACCGACCCCGAACUGGACGUAGGGCCCAUUACUCGAACCAGUAUAAAUCCUGUGUCAUUGUGUGCUUGGCCAUAUCCGAUCUAACGUGCGGCAAAACUACUAACAUUUACUUGUCGGCCAGAUUCCGCACCGACACCAAGUCAAUCAAUCAACACUAAUUCACAAUCUUAGACUUUGAAGUUCAUCAAACAUUCAAAAUUUCAAGUUCAUCACAGAUCACACAUUCAUCACAGAUCACACAGAAAUUCAUAAUAAAUAUAGAUAGAGUUGUUAACACUUCAUCUAUGUGAUCAAGUGUUGGCUGCCUCAUUAAAAACCUUCCUAGGUAAAAACUCACCCUUGUGAGAAAAUCCUAGGAAGGGAAAAAGAGUACAGCCAGCUCAAGUUCAAUGUUCAAGUUGAAUUCAAUAUUACAGACACACACACAGACAUAGAAGUAUAGAACAAGAACACCAACAGGCAGUCAGGCAACAAUCCAACAGAACAGGGUUCACUUGCUCCUAGGGCAGGCCUAGAGGUGCAAGAAGGAAAAGUGUUAGAAAUUGAACAAAGUGUUUAGCAAUUGGAGUUGAAGAAUAGUUAAGAAUUGACUUACUGACUAGUUUGGCCUUCAUUUUGGUCUAGGUAGGGGCUUCUGUAUAUUUCCUCCAGUUCAUUGAUCUUCUUCUCAAUAUCAUAUUGUGCCCUUGCAUAUCCCAACUCCCAAUCCUUGAGGCAGGUCAACAUCUCCACCGUCUCCGGCAACAACCACCGGCGCCGCUUCUCGAUCACCCUGCCAGUAAGACUAAAAUAAGAUUUCAAAGAAACAGUGGAAACUGGAACAGAUAUCACAUCUUUAGCUAGUAUGGACAUAAUAGGAUAGGAUAGCUUGUGCUCAUACCACAAGCUAAGUAUGUUGAAAUCAUCCUCAUAGCAAGUAAUAGUGUCACUGUCCAAGUAGGAUGACAACUCAGAAGCAGGAAAUAUAGGAGGUGUAGAUGAAAGAACAGGAGAACCACCUAAACCAGAUGGAGUACCAAAGAUCUUACCCCCAUGCGGUUCUUUUCUUACCAGUACCAGCUGUAGUUUGAGAGGGCCUGUGCAUCCUAACUACACCAAAUUUGUUUUCAUACUUGUUAAACAACUUAUAUAAUUCAGUUCUUCCCUCAAUGAAGUAAGAAGAGUAAUCAACACCAAUUGCCUAAGAAAGAAGCUAAAGAACAUUAUGAAAAUCUCUCAUCUUGGCUCUAGGAUCCAAAAUGAAUGCAAAGGAAUACAAUAGAGGUAUGUUCUACCAAUACUUGAGGAACUUGAGCUUCAUGGGAACAACAAUGUUUCUGAGCAGUGGAUCAGUCUCUUGGCCAUGCAAAUGACCAGCAAUCUCAAUAAUAUGAUGCAACAUCAUACGACUCGUUGGAUAGUAAACACCAGAAAAAGCAACAGUGAAAUCAUUAAACAUUUCAAGGAACCGCAAAAUUUUCUUAGCAAUUAUUUAAUGGCUUUCGGUCAGUAGUGGUUAGCCAUUGUGCAAACCAUAAUGAGCAGAAAUAAAGACAGAAAAGACAGUCUUAUAUGGUAGUAGAUAUUUGAGCAUGAGAUAUUUAGAAUUCCAUAUCACAUCCAUAUCUAAACCAAAUUUACGAGGGCAUACCCCCUUGACAAUGCAGAAGUUAUGGAAAACUGCAAUGCGUUGGUUAGAAGAGUUCCAAAAAGAGAUUGCAGUCCUAAAAGCCUCAAGAUAAGACUUGAUCCUCUUCAAACCAGACUUGACUAUGAGGUUGAUAAUAUGACAUGCACAACGUUGAUGCAAAAGACCAACAAGUGCUUUAUCAGAAUCAGAAUCAAGAGGUUCAGGCUCUGGACCAAGAUAACCAACAAAUUUGGGAAUGAGUGUGGCCAUGGCAGAAGUGUUAGCAAAAGCAUUAUCAAGUGUCACAGAGGAAAUCUUAUCCUCUAAACCAAAUUCAGAAACUACUUGUUCAAUACGUUCAACAAUGUUAACACCAGAAUACGAGCAAUCAAUCAACCGAAGAGCAAUGACUCUCUUCUCUAAUUCCCAAUCAACAGAAACAAAAUGUGCAACAACACUAAGGUAGUCUUUCUUAGUAUUGCCAAACCAAAUAUCAGAAGUAAGAUAGAUAGAAGAAACAGAAGACUUCAAAGUUUCAACCAGAGAAACAUGACGCUCAGCAAAGUACUUGGUAAGAUCACUAGAAGUCGUCUGCCUAGAAACUUUAGCAAAAUGAGGGUUAUGAGCACGCUGGAUGUACUCCUCAAAUACCUUUGACUCACCAAAGCCUAGGGGUAGAUCAAGUCUAGCAAUCAAACGGCACAAUUCCUUACGAGCAAGAUCAGACUUGUUUUCCCAAUUACUAAUUGAACCAUCAGAAUUGAAUUGAAGUUGCGACUGAACAAGAGAAGAAUGGUUUUGUUUAGCCAAGCACAUCUUCUGGUGCCGGAGCAAAUGGCUAGUACCAGCACAAGAUCGGCCUGUAAGAAUGUGAGAACAAUGACGGAACUUGGCAGCAUACCUCACCUGCUUCCCGUUAGCGCCUUCAUGGAACAACUCCUCAAAGUCGUUCCAUGCAGCAUAUCGCCACUUCCCCUUGCGGACACUGGUGCCCAUUGAGGUAGUCAGUGUAGAAGAUGGGGCAGAACCUCCGGCACCGGCAGCAUCCACAUUGACGGGAGCAGCAGAGCUACCGAUGAGUGCCACGGCUCUGGCAACCACGUCGUCCUCAUCGUCGCCUACAAGAACAAGAAGAACAAGAUCAUGAACAAGAAGAGGGUUAGGAUCAGAACAAGAUCAUGAGAACAAGAAGAGGAUCAGGAACAAUGGUUUACCUGGCAGCCCACAAGCCCUUAGGUCAUCGUUGAUGGUAUAGUUCUUGUCCAUCACGACGACCUCGUGUGGCAGGCGGCAGCGCCCUCCGGUGUCCCUCAACCGCUCCUCAACCGCUCCGUCCCUCAAUAGCGCGCGGCUCCCGACGGAUACCUACAAACAGGAGAACAAGAUCAGGAACAAGAAGAGGAUCAGGAGAACAACAAGAGGAUUAGGAGGACAAGUGGGUACCUAUGACGCCGGAGCCCAGAGUAGGAGAAGAUGACGGGAUGAUGAGAUGCCUAGAGGAUCUGCGAGAGGGCGAAGGCUAAUGGUCAUGACACCACAACCGCUCCGUCCCUCCUCAAUGGCGCAUGACACCCACCACCCAACGGUCGAUGGAUACCUGCAAGAAAGGGAUCAGGAGAACAAGAAGAGGAUAAGGAGCAUCUACAACUUACUAGCGACGCUGCAGCCCGGAGUUGGAGAGUAUGACGGGAAGAAGAUCAGGAGAACAAGAAGAGGAUCAGGAGGAUCUAGAUCUAAAUCAGGAAAACGAGAGCGGCGGGCGGUGGCGGCGGCUGGCGGAGGGGCCGAGGGGGUGGGGUUUGCGGAGGGGGCGCGGCUGGGCGCGGUGGCGGGUUAUAUAUGUCCCCUUUCUCGGCCGUUGCUAGGCUGGGCUAGGCCGCCACGCGACCGUUCGGUAGACGAGCCGGUAAUAGGUCGGCCAUUCGAUUUCAUGCCAGGCCGUGCCACCCAUCAGACCGAGGUGCCGACCCACACCCGGCACAAGCCAUCGGGCUGGGCCAGCCCGAGCUCAAGGAGUUACAUUCCAGGCCGAGCUUAGGACAUGCCAAAAAAUCGGGCUUUGUGCCGGGCUGUCGGGCUGCAUGGACAUCUAUAGUCAGCACCAACUAUGUGCUCCCGCACGGGCUAAUAUUUUUAAAAACUAUUGAAUCUGAAAAUUAUUUAGAAAUUAAACUCCUAGCUAAUAAUUAAAAUUGUUUACCUACUACUCUCUCAUUUUUCAAUACUUCAACAUAAUACUCAUAUAGAUAUGUACUUUAUAUAGAGAUGUACUUAUCUCUAUCCAGCUGUGAUUGGUUUUUAAUUAGUAAUUACUCUGUAAACUUUUGUAUUCACAUUCACACUUUUUUCAUGUUAUAUCGCACCUCCAUACAUUGUGUUUAGCAUAAAAAAUUGAUAUUUUUCAUCAAUUCCUCACAUACAUGUAUAAAUGGUCUAAAUGGUGACACUCAUCAUAUUUAUAUACUUUAACUUAAUAUUUUUAUAUUAACAAUGGUAUAAAUAGGUCAUUUGGAAUCAUAUAUUAGUUUAUUUUUGGAUGUUUCUGUAUGAUGCAUAUGAAGAUAAUUAGAUUAAGUUUAGGUGUUUACUUUAUGUUAUUUUAUAAAUAACAUAUGUGGGUAACUUAGGUACAAAUUUAGAAUGAAAUUUUAAAUUAUGCUUUAUAAUGAUAUGUACGAGUAAAUUGGAUGAAAAUUAUGAGGUUAUUUUAGAUUAUUUUCAAUAAUGGGCGAUCUCAGUAAUUUAGAUAUAGGGUUAGAGUUUAUUUUUGAAUAUUUUCUCAAUGAUAGUGGUGGGUAACUUUUUAGAAAAUAUAAUAUAUCAAUGACUAUGAUUAUUAGAGUUUACAGGAUUGGUGCUUGAUAUUGUUGAUUUUUUUUUUAUAAUUUCAAGGAUUUUGUGUUUUUUUUCUAGCGUGUCUCAUGGGAACUAAUGCGUAGUCUCCAAUGAAAACAAAUGAGACCACAUUGCUACAAAACUAUUACCACGAGCGACAUCUCAUUUGUUAAAUAUUCGAACGAAUACUUAUAUAGAUAUAUACUUAUUAUCUUCAUCCGAUUGUGAUAAAUUUUUAGUUAGUAAUUACUCUAUAAUAUUUUCAUCCACAUUUAUAAUAUUUAACCUUUACUUUUCAUCGUAGGUAUGCGCUUGAAUUUGUUUAAUGGACCUAAGUUUGCGCUAUAAUUGUACCAUAGAAACAUAUAUUUUCAUCACUUCAUCUAUAUCUUUAUAAAUGGUGGCGCACAUCAUGCACAUAUACCUUAGUUAUUAUAUCAUAUACCAAUAGUGUAAGAAAUAGGCGAUUAUAUCAUAUACCAAUAGUGUAAGAAAUAAACGAUUUAGACUCAUAUAUUGUUGUAUAUUUUUAAUUAAGGUGAUUGGAUUCAAAUAAAGGGUUACCUCAUUUAUUUUUAAUAAUGACAUAUGUGGGUAAUAUAGAGCAAAUUUAAGGGGUUAUUUUAAAUUUUUUAAGUGUUAGUGCUGGACAAUUUAGUUGCAAAUUUAGGGAGUUAUUUUAAAUAUUAUUUAUAAUGGCAUGAGUGGAUAAUUUUGAUGGAAAUUAGCAGGUUAUUUUAGUUAAUGUUAUAUAAUGGCAAAGGUGGGUAAUUUAGAUAUAGAUUUAGAGGGUUACUUUUGCUUUUUUAUAAUGGUAUAGGUGGGUAAUUUUUAGAAAACAAAAUAGAUCCAAUGGUUAUGAUGAUUUCAGUCUAUCGAUUGAUGGCUAGAUAUUCCUUUUUUUUAGAAUUUUAGGAUUUAUCUUUUUUUCUAAAAUGUCUAUCAGGAAUCCUAGGUGGCAGAAGGCUUUGAAAGAUACCCAAAUAUGAGAGAGAGAAAUUGGCCAUCGACGUCUUCCUUUCUCGCCAAUGGACAAAAUGCACUCAAAUUUCACUUUCGUCUACUUUGAUUGAAACAUAGGAACAUCUUAACCGCUUCUUUGCGUCGUGUCAGCCUAUCCAUCCUCUCAAGCAAAAACGCGAAUCAGUGAGUUAACCGGUGUGAUUAGCUAGCUAGUGAACGAGUGGCGACGGCCCUGUCCCCACCUGGCAGUGGGAUGUGCGAGAGGCAGCGACAGAUCUGACAGGCGCGCUCAUUUGCCUGACAAGCCGGAGCAGCUCAGCUCCCCGCUGUUGCUACAGGAUCCAUAUCCGUGUAUGCAUUCGCAUGAUGGAGAGUGGAGUGGGCAAGUGAACUCAGCCGCUGACACUGAAGUGGGUCACUCUCACUCACUCUCAACAUCUUCACGAUUUCCUCCUUCCUCCUCCUCCUCCAAAAAAUUAAAAAAACAACGUAGCUUUUCCUCAAAAGCUGCUAGCUUUUGCUCCAAUUCACAUCUACAUUUUAUAAAAUAAUGCCACAAUGCAAAAUGGUGGAGCUCACCACUCCACCACCGGGGAGAGCAUUGUUUUUCUACCCCUUUUGAUCACUCCCAUAUUCCACUCCCACUCCCUCCCUCCACCACCACCACCACCAGUAGCCAACAUGAUGAGAAAAAUACGCAGGGCAUUUCACUUUUGUUUCCCUCUCCUACGAAAAAGAUGCCGCUUCAAGGGGCCCCUUUUGUUGCUCAUACUAUGCCAGGGUCCAAUGCAGAUCGAAAAUGUACCACACCAGGUUUCGAGCAGAUUUCGUGCAGAUUUUGGUAGAAAGAGGGGGCAAUUAUUGGGUGCCCUGCUCCGAGCAUGUCUGCCUUGCCUUGCCUUCUUCCAUGUCCAAAGAUAAGCUAGCUGCCACUUCCUCGAAACAUGGCUCAACGGGGCCCUCUGCUCAGAUCAGUGACUAGACUAACCUCCAUGAUCAGUUUCUUUUUCCUGAAAGAAAUCUGUGAUCACUUUACUGUCUGCGGUUCAAUGACACACUAUUUCUGUUUAGUAGUACCUCUAAUAAGAAUGCCACCUUUCUCCAAGACUAGUAAGAGUUUGAACUAGUAGCAGAACAAUAUGUUUCUAGUUUCUAGACAUGUACAACCAGAAGCCACCAGUUCUAAGCGCUGAUUCAUGUUCGGAUUUUGAAUAUUUUACCUAGCUGGAAUAGACAAUGUCAACUUGAGCAACCACUUGCCUCAGGCUGGACUGAAUUUUUGACAGCUUAAUGUACAAGCUUGCCCCACCAAACCAUGCCAAAGCAAGCACAAGGAGCAAGCAAAAGGUUAAAAAAAAAAUGCCAAGUUAAAAUCUACAAUUCAGAGGAGGAAAAGAAAGGGAAAUGGGGGGCAAGAGCGCUCGAACUCGGUGAUCAAUUAAUCCCUCUUAUGCGCCGAAUUACUGUUACAAACACCAAGAUUACAACACGAGGACUGGACAUACAGGAAUCAUCCCAAGGCUCACGAGAGGGAGAGAGAGGAGCAAAUCAUCCACAGAUCAGGUCGGCCUCCCGCUUCAGGAGCACGGUGAUUAGCAGCGAGCAGAGCAUACCGAGCAGGAGCGAGCCAGCCUAGAGGAGGAAGAAGGGAGGGGAAGCCUAGAAGCGGUCACGGCCGGCUGGUCGGCGACUGCACGGGGAAGAGCGGGAGCAGCCUGGGCGGCGCCUGCAGGUCGCCGCCGGGGCCCGCAUUGCCGCGCGGGGACGGGUGGAGGUAGAACCCCUUCUCGGCGAUGGCGCGGUCCUCGGCGGCCGCGGCCUCCUCGGACCCCGGCAGCGGCGGCAGCGGCGUGACGGGGCUCCCCAGCGCCAGCGACGGGAAGUCCAGCAUGCUCGGCGACAGCACCUCCAGACCGCGCGGCGAGAACCCCCGCGGGGAGAACCCGUUGCCCGCGGAGCCGCCGGCGGCGAAGGCGGCGGCGGCAGGGAGCAGCGGGCACAGCAUCUUGAGGCUCUUCAUGCUGCUCCGCCGCUCGUAGAGCUUGAAAGCCGGCUUCUUGGGCCCCGUGGGCGCCGGCGCCGGCUUCUGCGGGGCCGGCGGAGACGACUGUGCCCCGCCCGCCGCGGCGGCCGCGGCGGUCUCCGGCGUGCCGGUGAGGAUCUGGACCACCUGCUUGAAGGAGGUGGUGUCCGCCUGGACGAAGGUGGUGGGGAAGGGGUUGGACGGGUCCGCCGACGCCUGGGGCAGCGGCAUCGGCAUCGGCAGCGCGGCGGCCACCGGCGAGGGCGGCGCCGGGCGCUCCUGGGUGGAGGUGGCUGCGCCGGCGUCCAUGAGAAAAAUGUCGCCUCUGGCAGCAGGCUUGGCUGGCUUCUCUUGGGAGUGAGAAAGACGGGGGGAGAGAGAGAAACAGGGGGGUUUUAUGGGCUUUUCGGGGAUUGGAAUUUUGGAGCUUUGGGAUCUGGAAUUUCAACUGCUGGGGAGAUGAGAAUUGAGAUGAGUGCUUUGUUUUGCUUUGCUUUUGUUUCGGCCUGGAAUAUAUGAAUAAAAUUGUGUGUGUGUGGUGUGGCUCAGAUCUGACUUCUGAGAGGAUGCAAACACCAGCCGGCACUCGAGACUUGUACCAGUAGGUCAAUUUCGUCAGGAUGGCUGGCUCUGCAGGUGAGCUGGAUGGAUGUGUUUUUGAAUUUCAUGUAGAUUCUGUCCUUCUCCUCUAACAAUAUAUUUGAUGUAGAUUCCGUCCUCCCUUUGAAUAAGAUGGACGACAGCACUGUUCGGCUGAAUGUGAUGAACUAGUACGUGUAAAAUGAGGAAGGCUGUAUUGUGGGAAUGCGGAUACUCCACUUGGUACGUGACUACGUGUUGAGAGGAGAAGCCGUACAGAUUUUAUUUUUUGAAUGGUUUUACCUAUUCAUACAGAGUUACAUCUUUAGAGAUGAAUUUUUCUCAAAUCUUUUUUAGGUCUAUGCUUUAAAAUAUGUAGAGCUUGUUCUCAGUGGAAAAGGAAGAUAUGCGGACUCUGAGGAAACAUAUAUGCGUUUGCUUGGGUUUGGAAGGUUUCCAUAAAAAGGUGGCGUUUUCUUAGUAGAAAAAAGACAUAACGUAUGAACAACUUUUAAACUACUCGAGAAGAGACACCAGCCGAAAGAGCACAACACAAUUGCAAUGUCAUUUAGCCUAAAUGGCGCCUACUGUUUUGUAUGAGCCGUUUGUAAACUCUAAAGCAGAGUAUGCUUGGCUUAGCAUAGAAUUUUUUUCUAGAAAGUAUGUUGGUGUUUUAGCGUACUUUCAAACUUCUCUAUAGGAGACAUCAUCAUACAUGGCACGUAUGCAUUACUUCCGUUUGAAAGUAUAUAUUUUUGGUAAUUUUCCUUACAUGUUUUGGAAAGGGGAAAUGUGAAGUGUGUUUUUGUGUUUUAUUUCAGGGAAAAAAAAGUCAUUUACGUGUGAGCCGUUUGCAAACUCCUUGAGAAAAGAUCUUGGUGGAAGAGUGUGUUCGGAGCCCACAUUGCACGGGUUGUUUUCUUUUUUCUUUUUGAAAUAAUACACACGGGUUGUUUUCACGAGUCCAUGGGCGUAGUCACUCUUUCUUCACUACUUGUGUCCUUCCAAGAGCGCAAAGCGUGCACCAUUUUGUCCAAGGCAUCCAUCAAUUUGUCCAAACCUUUCCUUUAUGCUUUAUGUCGUUAAACCCAUUUAGCUUUAUCUGAAGCACGUUUGUUCCAUAGGUGGCGAGUUGGAGUUGCACCGGGGAGAGCUGUGGGCGGCAACUAAACAGACGCUAAAUUCCAUUGCUUGUUAAAACUUUUAAUGAUUUUUUCCAUGGUCACUCAAUCAAUUUAUCGUAAAUAAUAAUAAGCUUGUGUAAAAACUUUUCAUUUUAUUAUUUCACCCAUGAUUUAUGUGUAUAUUUCUAUUGUCGUUCCAUACAAGUGUAAGUGUCGUUGUCUGACCAGCCCAGCAAGCAAGUCGAGACCGGAAAUUGAUGAGGACCAUGCCAAGGUAGCUUCAGCAAAGCUGGAGCAAUCGGCCGGGCGCAUUGACUGGAAGGGUUGCUAAAUCGGCGCACGGCCCCGAUCCAUCAUGGUUCGGUUCUCUCCCUGUGGUUCCACCACGUUUGUCUCUUAGUUUCAAAGGUUGGGCUUGACCAGUUUGCUGCAUAAAAGGACGCUGACUGCACCAUCUCUCCUACUAAUUACAACGACAACUUCAACAUCAUCAAUAAUAUAAUUGAUAUGCAAUCUAGCUUCCGGAGCAUGCUACCCGAUCUGUCGCGGCCAUCUUUUGGACAGGUUGCUAUAUAUGUUCGGCCUGUUCGGCUGGACUUAUAAGCCGGCUGAAAAGCUGAAACGGCUGAUUUAUUGUGAGAGAAAAACACUGUUCGGUGGCUGAUAAGUUGAAGCGAACAGGCUGGUUAUCACUACUCCUCCAAAGUUAAAAGAACACACUUCAUGGAUCCAAGCUGGUCAAUAAACUGGCUAAGAAAAACUAAGAUGGUAUAUAGUCCAGCAGUUCAGCUCAUGCUCUAUAAAAACUUUCAUUUGAAAAAAAAAAGAAUGUUCUAUAGAAAAUUUGUAGUAAAAAUCACGUUUUGUUGCCUUAAGAAGUACUGGGCUUAAAUGAUUUUCAUGUCCAAUAAACUGGUUAAGCGAAUUUCAUGCCCAUUUUGAUCUUUUUUUUUGGAGACUGAAUUUGGCAUAGAUAUAUACUGUACUCGAGAUGAGCACAUCAGAACGCCGUUACAUAUACAGUGGUGGUGUACAUUUUUUUUUUAGAUAAUGAGUGGUGGUGUACAUAAAAAAGGAAGACACGGCGUUGCAUCACGGUACGUGGUACAGCAACUUGUUUUGGCCGUAGACGCCGGUACAGCAAGUAGUCAAUACUAAUGUACGAAACCGAGUGUACAAAUUCCGACCGUUAAGCAAGCAGGACCGGAUCCCAGUCACUGAUGAACAAAUCGGGAAGAAGCUUGUCGACCAGCCGGAGCGGCGCCCUACUACUACAUUUGAGAUGUCACAUGCAUGUAGUGCCCGUUCGCCGUGUUCCCCGGUUCCUGGACCUGCACUGACCUGACCAAUGCGCGCAUGGCUGGUUUCUCCCUCUCCCGGAAUGGACCGACGGCGACCCCUGCUUGGUUUAAUGGCCUUGUUGGUUGCAUCCUUGCAUUGCAUGGCCUGGAGCUAGCAAGACGACGGCAGUGAUGGAGGCAGUGGGCAUGGACGGCAUGCAUGCAUGGGCUGAUGAGGAGGCAUGGAGUCCAAAAACAUGGUGGAAGCUAGUAGCAUUGACUUGGAGGAGACCUCGAGUGAGUCUGCUUGCAUUGCAUGUCUGCGUGUACCGCAACCAGACCCCAAGGGUACCAUAAUGGUAGGGGGGGGGGAGCGCUGCCUCGCUCCCGGCCUCAUAUCGCAACAGGUACACGGGAGAAGCAACCCCAUAGGGGACCUUCAGCAUCUUUGGUUCUUGGUGACGUUAUCGUGGGUUCGUGGGUGGCCACCACUGUUCAUAGAGGCAAGAGCUCAGCAGUACCCAACAAUAUCUAAUUCCUUCCCUUGCUGGAUGAUCAGUCGCAGUUUCAGUUUGUGCAUCCGUGGUACGCCAAGACGGUAGCCGUAGCGAAAGAGUGUGUGUGUCUCAAGACGCGGGAGUGAGGACAGCUAGGACAGGGGAGCCGAGGAUUUUUAGAUAGGGGUAGGACAAUCAAAGGCCCGCACUUUUCAACGUGCGCCAGUGUGUGAUUUGACUUUGGGAGCCAUCCCUGCCCCUGCCCCUCUUCCUCGUGGGCUCCUGUUCCUCUCGCUGCCGGCCGGCCGGCCGGCUCCCAUCCCGCUCCGCGCCUGCGUGCACGGCUGCACGCAGCCGCAGCCGCAGGUGGAGUGGAGUGGCUUUUGCUUUCUUUCUUUCUUUUCUUUAUUCCAUCUCCGCCGUCCUCCUGCCCUCUCUGAAGCCAAGUACGAUCCCAUCCCCUGCCUUUGGCGUCCUCUUUCCGUCAGUUCAGAACUGAAGACAGAAAAGAUUAUUGUAUUCCUUCCCGGUUCACACUGAGACAGGCUGAGAUAGCGAGAUGGCUUCGCCCAUGCGUCGUCGUGGUAAUGGACGCUGGCCUCGCCGGCUCGUCCUCCUCGCUCCAGUCGAAUCGAACCCCUGCAUGGACGCAUGGGCAUGGUGCUGCAUGUCCCCGCUGAACUGAAAUAGUUGACGCCUGAAAAUUGUGGACACUUUUCUGCAGGCUCGCGGCAGCCGAGGAGCGGCCGCAAAGCCGGGGCUCUGCCCUGUUCGCAGUACGGCGCACGCAAAUUCAGAUGAGCGGCGCGGAAGACAGGGCCGUCGAGCUGCGCUAGCAUACGAUUACGAUGUGAUUCAGUUGGGGACGUGGACAAGGCCUAGCUUCUGCUUGCGUAGGAUAGCACAAAGUUGCAACGCGGCUUUUGCGUAAAGCGAUCUUGGCGACAUUUUACAUUCAGGAGAAAGCGACGAUGCAGGUGCGUGAGACUGAUCAGGUACCCUGCUGCCGGUACACGAUUGUAUUACUUCUGGUAUCGCUGACCUGCCUGAUUCUGCACAGAUUCAUUGGCUGAAUGUGAUCAAUCAAGUAGAAAAAUCAAGACGAUGAUGGUUAGGCAUCAUGAAUUCGUGCAGACAAAGCGAGGAACCGGUGUCCUGGUAAAAUACGUUCUUCGGCCCAGCAGCCCACGUACAUAUGUUGGGCCGUGCAAACGGCCCGGUUGUGUGUGUAAAUUUCGGCCUGCAUUCUUUGUAAGCACGCAGAUCAUCUUUCAUGCAGGCUUCCACAGUUUGGGAUCACACACAUGCACAGAUCAUAAUCGUCGAAUUCAGCAGAAACGAAAAUUCCCCAACCAAAAAAUACGCUCAGCUUAUAUAAAGUACAAUUUUGUUUUCAAUACAGAAUCUUGUCGACCAAAUUAUAAAUGAACAAACAUGGCGAUCAAUCAAUCAAGAACAAUAAUAAUAGUUGCAUUGGGUUUGUACGUAUCGUCGUAGCGCCGCCUCCUCCGCCGCCGCCGCCGUCGGCCGACGUCAAGCUGUGCUGUGCGCGAGCAAAGAAGGCAGGCAGGCGGAUGGAUCCCCAUGGACGCACGGAUGGAUCAGUUGGUGUUGCGGGCGCAGCGGGUGAUGACGGAGCACCCGCGGCGGUAGGGGUUAGCGGCCUUCUGCGCGCCGGCGCCGCAGUUGCUGUAGUAGGAGCGGCCGCGCUGGUUGCAGGGCACCUGGUCCGCCCGCAGCGCUGCGUAGCUGAUGUACCGGUUCCGGGGCUGCCGCGCCGCCAGCGUCCGCCGAACGAUCUCCUCGCCCGCGCCGACGCCGCUCAGCCCGAGCUCCUCCGCCUCGUCCACGCCGCACUCGCCCACGGCGCCCGAGCACUGCUUCUUCCCCGCCGCAAGGGCGUCCAGCGCGCCCAUGUCCGGCACGCCCGCCGAGGCCGGCCGCACGGCCAGGAGCGCCGCCGCCGCUGCCACCACGAGCGUAAACAGCACGAGCCGAACCGCCGCCAUUGGGUGUCUGGUUCUCUUUCUUCGAGCUGGGUGUCUGCAGAAUGCAGAUAGCUUGCUCCCUGCCUUCUUCUCUCUGUGAAGGGGAGGAGGAGGGGGAGAUGAAAAGGACGACAGGGGAGGACAUUUGGAGGGGAAGCCGCUGGACGGGAGACAAUCCAGGGCGGCCGCACGCUGCCAUGGACGUGCGCCCGCCCGUCGCGGUCUCGCCCCGCCUCGGCGUUGGCGUUCUAGCCUUCCCCUGCAUGGAUGAAGGUUUGCAUGCGCUGCUGGUUAUUUGGUGCCCAAGCUAGCCUAAUUUUGGUGGUGCCGGUGGCUAGUAGUUCUCCCAUCCUAGGCUUAACAUGCGGUGUGCAUAAGACGGAAAGAAACUUAAAAUAGAAAUUAAUUUUGGAUAUCAGCACUUUUAUAACUAUCAAAAUCGAGUAAAAUUCAGUCUGCACCAACUAAACUGACAUUUGUUUAUGCAAACUCAACCUCAAUGAUGAGGUUUGAAGGUGACACGUGUGUUUCCUGACUGUUUGGUUCGUGUAGUGGAGAUCAACAUAAGGAUACCAAGUGCAUUUUCGAUGGAAUGGGAAAAAAAAUAGAGGUACGUUACUUGUUUUCUCCCUUCUUAUAAGUCUUGUUGCCUCGACUGCUGAUCCAACCUAGAGUUUAGGGUCUUUGAACUGCAAAUAAGAUCGAAUCGCCUGCUAAUCUCCUCCCACUUUCAUUUAGGAGGAAAUUCCUUAUUUUACACUAGAAGAUAACUUAAUUCCUUUCUUGACAUUGAAAAUUUCCUAUCCUUUAUAUGACACCGAGUUCUAACUUUCAUCUUUUAUUUGGUAUUUUCGUCACUUUUGUUAGUUAAGUUGGACACAACGACCACCAAAUUACCUAUAAAAUUCAUGAAACUUGUUAUGGUCAUUUAACAAAUGAAGAUGAAUCCAUCUUUCUUAAAACUGCAUGUGUACCUUUGCAGUUUUCAAAUUAAAAUUCAUCAAAUUAUGCUACUUCUGAAGCAUAUUUGAAUUUUUAUGGCACCAAAAUACUUUCCAAAAAUUAUGGGAAAACAACUAAUUUUCCGUAGAUGAGAUGUAGUCAUUUAUAAAAUUAGUUUCCUUCAUAAGUAACAUAGAAAAUUAUGAGGUUCUUCUAAAUAAUUUAAUAAGUUAUUGCAUAUGAUGUGAAAAAUAUUUGUUAUAUUUCUAUAAUUUUUUUAGAACUGUUUGGGUGCAUUUAAAAUUUAGAUAAUUUGUAAAAGUAGCCUAUUUGGUGAAUUUUUAAUAGAGUAAAUUAAGGAAAAAUUAUUAUUGAGUAAAUCCGAGUAUUUCAUGGACCUCGUAAAAAUUUAUCUUUUAGAUAUGAACCAGUUCUUCAAAGUAACUAACAAAUUAAAUUGAGUAAGUUUCAGUUUCCAAUUACUAAGCCAAUUCCCGUUUUUGUACAUAACAAUGAUUAAUGCCAAUAGAGUCAUGUGUCAUGCACUAAAAUUGUAAAUUGUAGAAUUAACAUUAUAAAUUGUUCCAUGCAUGUUCUAAAUUCAUAUUUUGUUAAAGCAAUGAUAUGUUUAGGGCGUGCCCUAUGAAUUAUAAAAAAGCCCAAUGCUAUUUGAACUUCUUUUAUUCUAGAAAAAGGGUUGAUGCUAUUUGACUAUUUAAUAAUCGUAAGUUUGCAUUUACCUUAAACAGUUUCUUAUGCUUGUUUGUUUGUCAUCUUCAUCUAGAUCUUUUUGAUGUUCUUACUGUGUUCUUACUAUUAACAGGAUACAAAGUUAUCAUAUUCAUCAUGCUACUUCUCUUCUCUUCAAGCUCACCUACCAGUUGAAGCGUCCCUACUUAAGCGGAGACUAAAUAUGAUACAAAUACCAGUCCCAAGAGGCUGAUAACACAUUUAUUCAACAGAUGGUUCACGAACCGUAUAACUCCUGAGGGAGCGGGCGCAAAAGCCACGCCAAAACGAUAAGUAAAACAACAACGAUAACGAUCCAAGCUACUGUCCAGAUGAACCUAGACAACACUCGGGACUAUGCGCCAGCGGAAGCAUCCUGCAAAGGGCCAACACCACAGGUAACGUUGGGUGCGAAAACGACCACCUACUCGAUGUCCUCGGCACCGGAGUCCAGGUCUUCCUCUGAAGCAACAAAAUAAGGGUGAGUACAAACGUACUCAACAAGUCCAACCACACCAACGGAGGGGGAAUAACAAGAAUAUGCACAACUCAUAACAAGGAUAAGGCUAAGGUUCAUUUGCAAUAAAGCUAUAUUUUUAACACAUGCAAGGGUUCACUUUCAAAAGGGUUUUCGCAAAGCAUUUAUUUAGUGACCGGAUAAUUGAGUGGGGUUUAUCCUACACAAAGGAUCCAAAUUUUAGUGCUAUCAGACUCCCCGUCCGCGGUAGCUCACGGCACAACUGCCAGGCACUUCCAAAAUCCAACACACGCCAUGAAAACCAUCCAUCUCCCAAACACUAGUUAUGUGCCCAAACCGUAACUCAUCCAAUACCGUGGACACGGCUAUUUGAAUAGGUUUUAACUCUGUAGAGGUGUACACUUUACCCACAAAUAGGGUACUGCAGCACGAUCACCUUAGUCUCAAUGCGGAUCCUAUCAAAGCCAUUACCCACCUUAGCUAAACCUGACUAGCCAACACGGAAACAACCAAGGGUUAAUGACCUACCAACGAGAUCUUAACUGGGACCUAAGUCACAAAGACUCACUCCUUUUCCAUGAUCUUUCGUUGCUCACCAGCUCUCCUGAUGGCUAAGAGACUAGCUAGUGGGAUUUAUGCUAAACCUUUGCCGCAUACAAAGGUCGAGUGGUUGCACGAUAAAUUGGGUUAGGCAAGAUGACACAUCAACUCAGUCCUUAAUUGUCAUAUGGAUAUCUCCCAACCUACUCAACCACUAAGGUACGAGCCUAACUUGGCAUUUCACAAAAGAAACACCCAUCCAUCUCAUCUAAGCAUUUUCCUACUUUUAUUUCCCGAAACCCGUUUACUUCCUUUAAAACACUCACACCUUUAUUCUGGAUGAGACACAUUGUAGUCAUAAUUGGAUUGUAAUAAAAUAAGUAACAAGGUCCUAAGCAUUCUAGCGGUGAUUAUCAUCCAAACAAGGCAUAUUAUAUUUAGAGAUAAUUCUUGGACAUUAAGGAAGAAUCGUAACAGUCAAGGGGUGGCUAUCCAACCGGUUUCAGUAAUAAAACAAUAUGCAAUUUAUAAAACUAGCCAAUAGGUUGUGUUUGAAAAACUGGGAUAAAUAUGCAUCAAAAGGUGAGAUUGGACUUGCCGUCCUCAAAGCCUUCCGGGAGUUCCUGCUCGCGGUAUGGAUCCUCGAGCUCCGGUUUGAGUUCCUGCUGAGGUACUGGUAUAAAAUCCCAGCCAUCUGGCACUUUACUAGGGGUAUAACGGUAUAACAACUGGGCUCCUUCCUAGUUUUCAUGAACUUAACUGGCAUUUGUAUCUAGUUGUUUGUACAAAUGUUGUUAGAUAAAGACACAUGUUCAAAAAUUGAACAUUGUGAAGUAGAGUAUUUUGAAAUGGAUGCUAUUAACUUCUUCACACGAAUAAUGGAGAUGCUAGUAACUUAACCGAUUUUUUUGAAGGAAUGACAUGCAUCUCUCUCUCCACCUCUUUGGCGUACAGGAUACUGAUUCAUUAUAAAGAUUUACACAUCCCACUUUCUAGGAUUGAGAAUCUCGACAAAUCAACCGGACAAAACCAAAAAAAAUGUUAUUUUGACGCGAGCCCUAAAACUCAGAAGCAAACUAAACCUGCAUCCCAACUAACGAAACGUAAUCAAGUUUAAUAGCCAACAUCGAUCAAUUCGAAGUCCUGGGCACACGAUGAUCAAGAAUAUCAAACUAGAAUCGCUGCUCCACCGAUUAUCAGGCACGCCAGAACGCCACCCCUCAAGGCUACUGCGGACGACGGCGACGGUGGCGACGACGUCCCGUUCGUGCUAGCAGGCGCGGGCGCGGGCACCGGCGCCAGCGACGGAGAUGAAGCGUUCUUCCCCGACGACGGUGGCGGUGGAGGCGACGCACGCGGAGCAGGUGUCGUAGCAACGGAAGGCGGCGAGGUCGUUGGCGACGAGGACGACUUCGGUGGCGAGGGCGGCCGCGGCGACGCGCGUGGAGCAGGUGUAGCAACGGGAGACGGAGAUGUCGGCGACGAUGAUGAUUUUGGCGGCGGUGGCGUGAGCGAAGGCGACGACGGCGCGUUGCCGCCGUUGUUGCGGACGGCGAGGACGACGACGAUGAGGCGCUCGCCGGCCUUGCACCGGCCCGUGUCGGCGCUGAUGAAGAAGUAGGGCCCGGAGCUGUUGAACACGAAGCGGGAGUCGCCGCCGCCGAGGCGGAGGAUGGGCUCCGUGGUGUUGCAGGCAUCGUAGUGGCUCUGGCUCACCACCAGCACCGCGUCCACGUCCUUGUUGUACCUGAACACUGCACAGCACGCGCACGACACGACCGGUCAUCACUCAAACGCCCAUGGUGAAGGUGAAGAGGCGAGGAGAAGGCCGCUCACCAAGGGUGUCGUUGACCUGGAAGCGGUUGCGCUCCGCCCAGGCGUUGAAGGGCUCGGCGGGGUCCGGCGCCCACCCGCCGCGGCCGCCGACGUGGAAAUCGCGCCCCUCAGCGCAGGAGCUCGCCGCCAGGAGCACGGCGAACAUGGCCGCCAGAGCCGCCACUCCGACGAUCGGCCGUGCCAUCGCCUCGCCUGCUCGAUUGCGCGAAGUUCAAUUCCUAGAUGGCUACCAAACUCCGAUCCCUCUAGCACUAGUGACCACUGUAAAUCUACCGCCUAGCGUGUUGCUAGAGCUGACUAACCCGGCCGGCGUCUGAAUCUGAGCCUGGUCUGGUCUUGGUGAGUCUGUGAUGGUCUUGGUGUCCAUGGUUUCUGCAUGUAUUUAUACACGAGGGUCAGGUGAUGUUACCGUUGGGGGUGCAUUGCAUUAGUGAGGCAGCAAUUAGCUGUGACCGGGCGUUACCGAUGCUGAGCUUUACCCAGCGCCAAGGAGUUACGCCAUUCCUUUACCUCUUUGACGAAGAAAUCGGCUGGCAUGUUGUAACGGCGCAGUGUGCCCACUGCACACAGGAACCGCCACAACGGUCAUCAGUUUGACUAGCCAUAGGCCUCAAUGGGCCGGUGUUUGUUGUAGGCUAGGGGUAGACUAAUCAAGUUUAAGUGGGCUGUCAUGGCCUUCCAAGCCCAGUGCGAACAAGGCCGUCCUUUUUCUAGUUGGCCCGAUCCAAGCUAGCAAAGAUGCAACAAUCAACAAAACCAAUGGGCUCACCGCCGGCUAAACCUCACAGACAGCGGCCCAUCCUUUCUUGUUCAGUUUUUUUUUUCAUUUUCGUCUGGUUGCACUGUUCUGCCGCGCGUAACAGUACAAGAGUGCAGGCAGUACUGCAAUGUACAGAAGCAAUCAAAAUCGUUUCUCCCGUCUGAUAAAUUUCUCUCUGCAUUCGCGGCGGCAGACCGGCGGGUAUAACUUACACGGCCAUGCCGUCCUUCUGUGCUUGCGCCUGACGGACGGCGUUGGAAUGUAGACUGUAGAGGCAUGGUCGCAUGGAGCCGCGCCAUUCUCUCCACUCGGGCAACUCCCAUGCUCAUCAAACCCCUUGCUCGUUCCCAGCAUCUACCAUCUGAUUCUGAUGUGUGUUUCAUUCACCUCCGAAUCCGAAAGGGAGAAAAAAAAACAGAAUUGGGAAAGGGAAAAGGCGAUUCAGUAUGGCAGUACAGCUGGGCAGCAGGGCAAAUUCCCUGGUGUUGCUGCCUCCGGUGCGCCAUUAACACUGUUGCUGCGACGCUCGGACAGUCCUCGCUCAUCAUCAAGGCUUUUCACUGUUGGCCAGCUCAAUGCGCAUUCAAGGCAUUGCCUUGCCCGUGGAUCUACUACUGCCACCGGUACUGCACUGCACUUUACUCCUACUCCUCCUUGGUGGUGAUCAAGUGUUGUAGUAAUGGUAAACACCAAAGAAAGCAGCCUGCAAGCCUUGCAGCGAAGCCAAAGAUUUUUUUUGCUAACGAAGAUGUCUUGAUCUACCAUGCAUUGCAUUUGCAGCUAGUAGCUUUAUGUGCGAUGUGCAUAAGAAGAAAGGAGGCAGGCAGCCAUGCAGGAGCAGCAAUAUAUGCAGCUUGCACAGUUGCACGCAAGAUCAUCAGUGAGAGCCUGAGAGGACGAUGCAUUCUGUGGGGUGGAGGAGCUAGCUGUAGUUACUCCAAGGUGUGACUUGUGCCGGUGGACGGUGGAGGUUGCCCUGUCCUCCUGACGCCGGCCGGCCAAGUUGGCGAGGCGGUAAGAGCACCGAGAUUUGGCGCAUCUCUCUGCUGCUCCUGCGACGCGCAAUGACUGCUCGGCUGCCGUGUCCGAGGCUCCAGCGAUCGAGCGCAUCCUGUGCAUGCGGCGCAAGUGUUGGAGGGACGGCGACGGAGCUGGACCAACAAUGGCCGGCUUCCUGGAGGAGGCGCAGGUCGGUCAACCGAGCGCGCCGUAUACGCAGCGAGCGAUCUGCGCACGGACACGGCGUGUGGAUUCUCUGCCCGGACAGCGAAUUCAUCCAUCAGUGUCUUUUUUUUUGCGGGUAAUUCAUCAGUGCCUUGGCGAGCCAUUUGUGCGAUCUCCAUUUUUAGAUCGUAAUGGUCAUCAAGCAAGGGGGACAACACCUCCGUCGCCAGCUACCUCCUGCCCCUGUCUGAAAUCCCCCUUCAAUCCUGCGAUCUUCAGAGUUCAGAGUUGUCUCCAUUUUUUUUUCGAAUUGGGUGACGAACUGAUGAUCCAUAGAAAAUAAGAAAUGGUGAGGUGACGGAUCGGUGGAUUUAUAUUCGUGCGCAUGCGCGUUGUGUGCAGUGAAUUGAGGGGAGGUAGUUGCGGAGAGCAAGGACCGUGCUCUGCGGCAGUGCGCUCAAGCAUGUGAAGGUCGCAUGCAGAGGUCUGGUUGUGGAAUAACGCGUGCCACUGUAAAUAUGCCCCCACGCGUCCAAUUCAAUUCGGCUUCGCUUCUCAUCCGCAAGGACUGGAUGAUUGGAGGAGGAUGGCUUGUACUCCAGAUCUCUGCCUCUGAAUUAGUAGGUGAAAUACAGUUACCAGAAAGAUUUAUGAGCAGACGAGGAGUACUAAGAGGCUCAUUUGCCUCACCAAUCGUAGAAGAUGCAUGCUUUAACUUUCACUUUUGCAAAGUGAUGGCAAAGUCUCCCUACUCCCUUUUCAUGGAUGGAAGAGUGCAGGUUGCACAGCACAACAGAUGCGCUCUCAGUCUACGAUGAGGCAGUAAUAACCAGUUGGAGUACGUCCCAUGAAAAUCCUUAGAUCCAAACGGGACCUAAACUCUCAGUUCAACACAAACUGUUCAUGACAAUGUUCAUGACACUUCAUAAUCAUAGAGUUGGAUCAGUUGUAAGCGCUGAAUCUCGGUUGAUAACUAAACCAACUGCACAAGACAAAAACCAAGCUGUUCUUCAGUAAAACUGCACUGUAGACAGUGAAAUGUUUUCACUGAAAAAUACAUGCGUUCAUGGAUCACACACUGAAACGAACAAGUCCAAAGAUGAAGCUUAUAGUAUGAAACAGACCCCUCCAUGGCUACACAGUACUGGCAGCACCCAUAGUAACUGUUCAAAACAGCUGGGCCGACCAGCUCGCGAGCGAGAACAAAUGCCCCAAGACAACACUACCCUGGACCCCUUUCACCCGGACUGUUGCAGAGGGCAAGAACUCAACAGCCUUUUAUUCAUUGCUGCAUCAAUGGCUCGUGGGGCACGAUCGAUCGAUGCGUAGCGCGAUCGACCCCGAGUCAAGAGCAGAUCAUGAGUCAUGAAACAGCUUAAAGGCUUCAACAGAUUUGCUCAGGAUCGGAGUUGUUUUUUUUGCUUUCUGAAAGGAUGCCUUGGUGUGGUUAGGCACAGCCUGACAGCAAGGUCCAGCUUGUUGCUUAUUGCAAUCUCACUGUAACAAUGCCAGAAUAUUACUGCUCCCUCCGUUCUAAAUUAUAAGUCAUUCCAAUUUUUUUGAGAGUCAAAGCAUCUCAAGUUUGACCAAUUUUAUACAGUAAAGUACUAACAUUCAUGAUACCAAAUAGGUACCAUUAAUUCCUUCAUUAAAUAUAUUUUCAUAGUAUAUCUAUUCGGUGCCAUAAACUUUUGUGAUCUUCUCUAUAAUUUUAAUCAAAUAUAAAAUGAUUUGAUUCUCCAAGCUUAUAAUUUGGAGCGGGAGGGAGUAGCUUUUAGUACCUCAAUCGAGUGGAAAAUGUGAAACCAAGUAUGGAAUGCAAAGCUUUCACGUGAAGACAAAUCGAAAUUCAAGACUCGGAAAGUCGGAAUUGUACUAAUUUCAUGAUCUCCAUUUAGCUGUUUGUUUUCCAAAGGAAGUAUACUAAUUCCCGUAAAAUUCAUGAGAAGUCUUGUGUUCCAAACUCCUCAGAAUCACUGAAAAAUUGGUGACGUGGAGAUUUCGAAGCCAAUAACAAACCAAUAUUCAACACUGCAGAUAUGAACUCUGGUCAGCAAGUAGGCACGCACGGCAAUGGCAUGAGUAAGAACUCAGCAUAAAACUCAUCGAUGAUCCCCAUUUGUUCACAGAAGAAUCUCGCACAAGCUCUUGAGAUCACAACCUUGGGCACCGAUGCUGAAGGGGAAAUACACAGUGUCAUGCUCGAUCGCCAACUGGAACUCGACAGAUCAUGCAUGCAGUGCAAGUACCUGUAUUUUUAUAUGGCUCACAACAGGAGUAAAUUAAAUCUGCAAAGGAGGGGAAGAAGAAGAGAGAAGAGACGAAGCGUGAUGGGCUUGAAGCCUUGAACAGCGCAUGCAGCAGUCUGCUCCGGCUGUGGAGGCAGGCGCACGCCUCGCCUACUCGGACGAUGUAUGGAUGGAUUGGUCGAUACGUUGAUGCCCGCAUUGAAUCCCCUCGCCAACCACCCGCGCUGCGUCACCUGCGACCUCAUCAAUUCACGGCGCUCGCCUUCAACUCCCCAAUGGCGCCAGUCUGGUAGCUUCUGCUCCCGCUAUUUAUAUCCACGCGCGCUGCUCGCCUCACCUCAUCUCCACCAAUACACAGUCCACUUCACUCCACAGCAGCAGCAGCAGAGGAGGAGGAGAGAAGCGGAGAAGCAGCUGCCAUGGAGGCGCGGAAGACGGCGAGGGCUCUCCUUGCGAGCUUCGUGCUCGCGGCGUUGGCCGCGCAGGCCUUCGUCGGCGUGGUCGAGGCCCGGACCAGCCCCAUGGAGAAGGCCAGCCAAGGUACGCGUCGUCUUGAGCCGAGCUCCUCUCCUGCUGCAACGGUAGCUAGGUAUGCAUGCAGUAACAAUGUGUGGCUGCCGUGCAGGUGACGUGAAGAAGCCGGACUGCGUGCCGGGAGUGGACCCGCACACCUUCCCCGGGAUCCCCGGGCACGGCGGUGGCAUCACACCCGUGCCGUCCGGCGGCACGACGCCGUCCCACGGCAGCGGGUACGUGCCGACUCCGUCCCACGGCGGGGGCACCGGCGGGGCGCUGCCUUCCCCGUCCCACGGGGGCACAGGCGGGGCGCUGCCUUCCCCGUCCCACGGGGGCACCGGUGGGGAGCUGCCUUCCCCGUCCCACGGCGGCUCCGGGUCGUCGCCUUCAACUGGCGGAGGCUAUGGCGGCUCUCCGUCCACCCCGUCCCACGGUGGCUCCGGGUCGUCGCCAUCCACUGGUGGAGGGUACGGUAGCUCUCCGUCGACCCCGUCCCACGGCGGCGGCGGGUACGGAUCUUCCCCGUCCACCGGCGGUGGGUACGGCGGUUCCCCGUCGACGCCCAGCGGCGGCGCCUACGGUGGCGGUUCCCCCUCGCCAUCCCACGGAGGAGGCGCCUACGGGGGCGGCUCUUCCCCCACGCCGUCGUACGGUGGCUCCCCGUCGCACGGCGGCAUCGGGACCUCGUCGCCGACGCCGUUCCUCCCCGUCGACCCCCACAGCCUCGGCUCCCUCCCCGGCUCAUGCGAGUAAGCCACUAACACCAUGUCACCAUGCAUGCAUGCAUGCAUGUAGUCACUGACACGCGGGCCCCUCUCUCGUUUUCCUGCCACCAGCUACUGGCGGUCCCACCCGAUGGAGAUCUGGUCGGCGCUGGGCGGGCGGUUCCCGAGCUCGAUGGGCCACUUCUUCGGCGGCGCGGGCGGCCUCGGCGGCGCCGCCGACCUGAGCAUCCAGGACGCGCUGGCCAACACCCGGUCCGACGGCGCGGGCGCGCUGCUGCGCGAGGGCGCCGCCGCGCUGCUCAACUCCAUGACCCGCGCGGGCUUCCCCUACACCACGGAGCAGGUCCGCGACGCGUUCGGGGCCGCGGCGGCCGGCGGCUCCGACAGCGCCGCAGCGGCGCAGGCGGCGGCGUUCAAGAAGGCCAACGAGGGCAAGGCGUAGAGCUAGGCAGGGGGUGUCGCGACGUGCGUGUCGUUGGAAUGUGUUUAAGACGUGGUGAACUAGCUGGAAGUAUUUGUUGGGCGUUGUUGAGUUGAUGGUUACGUUGGUUGUGUCCGAGUCAUCGAGCACAAACUUAGUGGUGCACUCGUUCGUGUUAUUUUGCUGUGUUUUUCGUGUGGAUCUCGGUGGAUGAAUGAAGCAAAACUACUGUCCUAGUUGGGUUCCAAAGUCUCGUACUGCGAAUUCCUGAUGCAGGCAACAAAGCUAGUUUUAGGAAUUAGGAGUGUUUCUUUUGUGCUGUGAAUCUUUACGUGUGUGUUAGGCUGUUGAUACGUCAUGAUGUUGCAUGUAAUCGUGCUGUUCAUAAGAUAAGAUAAGAUAGGGACACGUCGUUGACGAGCAUGGGUCAUGGGCGUACAGUACAGACUACAUAGUACGGACUGGCAUGCAGUGGAGUAUUAAUCGGUUCACGAGAUUUUCACCAUCUCCGUACGUCAUGUCAGUGCAACUGUGCGAGACGCAUCUACCGUAUGUGAAGCACAUUAAUGGGGGUGAGUAACUAUGCAAAGGACACGCACAAAAUGGUACCGUAUACUGCAAGAGAUUGCUAGUAGGCUACAUGCUUCGACCUAGCAAACAACAUGGGCGAUGGAGCCAUGUAAAAACCAAGCACAUCCAUUUAUUUUAUGGAGGGUUGCCUGCAAGUAUGUAACACAUUUUCAUCAGGGAAGAAGGAAGACUGAUGUGCAACACAUGUUUUAGUUCCUUUUAUUGUAAAGUAAGAUUGUCGAGAGAGGAAGACCAGUGAUGAUUUUCUUGUUGUUUUCUUCUGUAUAUAGUUCUUUCGAGGAAGACUUCUUUGGUAUAGAAAUACUGUUUCUUUGAGGAUUUCUUAUGUACUGUUAGCGAGGAGGGGGGAGCCGAGUUUUUUUUUCCUUUUUAAAAGAAAAAAGUGAGAAGGAGAGCUAGGUAGAUCAGGUUGAUUCUGUUGCAGCAGGCCAUGUCUCGCAACUGAAUCUGGGCUCGCAGAUUAUGCACAGUAAUAAUAGUAGUAGGCCUGGUCCAUAAUAUUUUGGACCAGCUGAGGAGCGCUAUCAAACGGCCCGCAGUGUGCGGUUGGUGUGGCCGGCCCGUGCGGGAACGGAACACUGUGGGCCGAGCCCUGGGUUUCGUGUGCCGCUGCAUAUGGCCUACGAGAUCUGCGGCCCAUUCCCUCUCAAAAUAAAAAAGAUGGGAAGUGCUAGCGCCCGGAUGUCCGAUAAUUUUGUUUUAUCGGACGCUCCAUCGCAACAUUGAAAAAUAACUAUUGAAACAUCAAAAAUCAACACUUGCAACACCGAUGAUUGCAACACCUUUACGUGCAUGAAACAUCUCGAAUUGCUUCGUGCAACAUUCAAAACAAACACAUUGCAAAAAAAAACAUCUCUUACAACAUUGCAACAACGAAAGAAGAAGAGAUGAAACAAAGAAAACAACUAUAUGCAACAUCAUGAACAAGUUGGUGCAACACCCGAUUGCUGGCAAGUCAGACUGUUGCAAAACAGAUGAAACAUCAAAAGCCACCGUUGCAACAUCCAAAAAUAACUAUUGCAACACCAUGAUGUACCUAUUGCAACACUCAGAUCCACGACAACCAGCCUGCCGUCGAAGGUUGUCCACCAUGGCCGCCGCCCGAUCCUUCCCCGCUCGGAUCUCGCCGGGGUCCAGGAGAGGGCCAUCGGAUCCGGUGCAAAACAGAUGAAACAUCAAAAGCCAUCGUUGCAACAUCCAAAAAUAACUAUUGCAACACCAUGAGGUACCUAUUGCAACACUCAGAUCCACGACAACCAGCCUGCUGCCGAAGGUCGUCCACCAUGGCCGCCGCCCGAUCCUUCCCCGCUCGGAUCUCGCCGGGGUCGGGGAGAGGGCCACCGGAUCCGGUGCAAAACAGAUGAAACAUCAAAAGCCACUGUUGCAACAUCCAAAAAUAACUAUUGCAACACCACAUGAGGUACCUAUUGCAACACUCAGAUCCACGACAAUCAGCCUGCCGCCGAAGGUCGUCCACCAUGGCCGCCGCCCGAUCCUUCCCCGCUCGGAUCUCGCUGGGGUCGGGGAGAGGGCCACCGGAUCCGGGGCGUUGGGUGCUCCCGGUUGGUUGAGGACGCCGGAGUGGGGGGAGGGGCGCCGCCAGGGUGGGGGAUGAGGUUCCCGGAGUGGAGGAGCGCGCCGCCGUUGGGGAGGACGCCGUGGUGGGGGAGCGCGCCGCCGUUGGGGUGGAUAACAAGGCUACCGGGGUGCGGGACGAGCCUGCUGGGGUUGGGGAGCGUACUGCCGCCGAAAUGGAUGAGGAAUACGUCGGGAUGGAAGGUUGAAGAAGAAAGAGGAUGGGGAAGAAAAAAGCAGUAGAAACAGAUAAGAACAGAGCGGUGGGAGCGUCCGUCCGUCCAGAUGGCCUGACGGUAGCGUUUCCGAAAAAAGAUCUGCGGCCCCGCCGCCCGAGCCGCAAGCCCGCAACGCUUGCCGCACGCCGGCGCCGAGGUCACUUCGCCGCCUACCGCCGCAGGCUCUGCCCUUCUCGACUCCGGUGGCAAGGAGCUGCACAUUCUUCUCCUAGCACUGCAGAUAUCCCCCUUUUUUUAAAGAUAGAUGAGAUCACUGCAGAUACAUACAUGCAUGAGUACCCCGGCCCUAUCCCUCGAUAGAAAUCACUGCCCGUGGUCUGAAAUAACAUCCCUCCUCCUUUUCGGAUGCAAAUUCCUCGGCUGACCUUGUAGUCCAUGACAGAUUAUGGACCUCCAGACCAUCUACAACGACAUGGACUACCUACCUAUAUAUGGGAAUUGUUUGCUCUGUGACCAAGAGCAAAUUAAGAAAUUAAAACUGUAACCACCCAUCCCUGUUGGGCUGUUCCGUUGGCUUCUGUAAGUACAGAGAAGAUCAGGUGUAGCAAUUAGUUGUUGCUUUCUUUCUUCGUUUUGUUUGUGCCGGUGGCUUUGCAGUUUGUACUACUCCGAUAGGCACUAUCUCUCUCUCUCUCUCUCUCUCUCUCUCUCUCUCUCUCUCUCUCUCUCACUUAGCUCGUGCAAUGCACGAUCUCGAGAAUCAAAAAACCGAGUAACACUAUGCACGCAUCAGAUUAACAGAAAAUUAAAAGAAGCACAUUAAGUGGACACAACUUAUUAUGUUAUACAACACAUACAGAGUAUAUUAAAGCGUUUGAUACGCAAUAUGUACUAUAUAGAUACACAACAGUUCGAUUAAUUGACACGAACAUAUGCAUACUGCUGGCAGCAGGUCUCCUGCAUGCGUUCCAUCGACGAGUACGGAUACAAGUUACAAUUAUCAACGUACUUGUACUAGUCACGAUUAUUAGUUCCACAAACGUAAAUAAAGUUUACUUUGAUCUCGGUUGGACACAUGAUAACAGCAGCGCGCGUGCGUCGACACUGCACCGGCGCCUUCGGGUAGUUAAUUUCAUCUGCAACACAGCACGAUGUAUUUACUGAAUUAAGAUACAAGAAAAUAUGCGGUUACUAUAGGGUAAAAACUUUGAUAUCCUGUUGCUAGUACAAUUAUGCUAUCAGCAUCAGGCGUAUAUCGAUCGAUAUAGGAUCAAAAGUUUAUGAAAAGCACUCUUCUAUGAUCUCCAACUGCAUGAUUAAGCACGUUCUACUCGUAUUCUCGAAAACAGGUAUGAACAUACAGUACAUUACGGUGAGAAAUAAAAAUGAGAGCUGUGUGUAGCUAGUAUACCCGAGCUGAAGGGUUGUUGGUUGCAGCUGAUGGGAGUAAUGCUGAGGCUGCUGCAUAAUGUUCACUUGAUGAAAGUUUCUCGAGUCGUACGGGGCCAUGUGAUCAUAUUCGCUUGUUGAUGGCGCUCCCAUCAUGUUCAUGGGCGGCUGUCCCCUUUCGUUGUUCUCAGCGACCUGCAGCACGCGGCAGAAAUCGCUUAAAAUUCAGUGAUCAGUCAGCUUAAAAGAUCAGGGCCUUGGAACUUUUGCUCAGAUGAACAAGUGCUACUACUGUAUUUACCUUGCUCCUCAAGUACAUGUUGUCACUCUGUAGAUCCAUCUCCUGGAAACAAAACGAGCGCCACAUGUAAUUUGGAGCUAGCAGAAAAAAAGGUACUACUGCAAGCGGGGAUUGCUGAAUACUAACCCUUUUCUGCAUGUACUCAACUUCAGCGUAUAACAGCUCAUUCUGCAAGAAAGGCAUUGCUCAUUUCAUCAGCAGAAAUUCAAAACUUAUUACAUAAGGCUAUUUGUUCCCCAUAUGCAUUGGUCAACCGAGGCAUUUAUAUUUCUGCUCUCUUCCCAAGUUCCAUGCAUAUAUAGGCCUGUUUUAAGUAGGCGAGACUGCUCUUAUUGGAAUUUUUGGGAUAUAAUUUAUGUUCUCAUAAAUUCUCCUAAUGCAUCAUUCAAAGUUUCAAACAGGGGAUGCAUAUGUAUAUGAUGUAUCUACAUAUACCACAAAUGCUGCAUGUACAUACCUUUCUAGCUCUAAUCUUGCAUAUUCCUUUCUCCAGCCUGCCCUCCAGCUGCUUAAGAUCCCUGAGGCUCAUGGUGUGAAUUGCAUCACCCAUUAUGGUCCUACUAGAUAAUUAAAUAAGUUAGACAACAUAUAAUAUUCCUUUUGUUAAUUACGUUAAAAAAUAAAUGGAUACAUGAAUAUUGCAUUUACAGAUUUUUUUUCAACAAAUCAUUUGUUUUCAUAUGCGUUCUACUCUGUUUGCAUUUACAGAUUAUGGUCUAAUUUGAAAGCUAUUAUUACCUGUUUGAGUUUUGCAAGCUACUGAUAGUCCCGCGCAGCUUGGCGGACUCCUGCUGGUAAUGCUGCAAGUUCAUAGCUAGUAUGAAUGCACUGAGUAAACAAAGCUUAUGCUAAUUGCCACAUAUAUAUCACUGGCCUUACAAAGACAGUAGUGUAAAAAUCAGUGUCACUACGGAAUAUUUAGGCCUGUUUGAAAUGGCAUGCAGGAAUUAUUCAUGAUGUACUACAAGCUGACCUGAACUAAAAUCAAUAAGAUGUCUCCACAGGUAAGGUCCAAAUGGUUUCUGAAUUCUACUUUAGAUUUAAAUUAUGAAUAUAUCUAAGCUGAAUAUCUAUGUCAAUGCAAUUAUUAGCAAGUAUAAAGAGCGCUGCAGUCUGAGGCUCUGAGCUGCAUACAUGCAAAGGAAACUUCCAGAAACCGUAUGAUCGUAUGAGAUUUUACUAUGUGCUUGUCCACGUCCAUAAAUUCAGAUACUACCACUAUCAUCGGAUGGCCAUGGAUCAGUCUUAUUUUUCUUUUAUUAAGCAGUUUUAAUAGCACAUUAGCAUUUCAUGUGGACUUGUGGAGUCAGCAAAAUUAACCUUCAUAGACUGCUAGAGUUGGAAACAGGUAAAACUGAUGGUGGUAUUGUAUCUAAUACCAGGUCAAAAUUCAGUGUAUUGACAUUGCAUAAUAAUCAAUCGGUGGCACAGCUUAGUGUAUAUUUUAUUAAAAGUGGUGUGCUUAAAUCAGUGUGUACGAGUGAUUAGAAAAAUUGACACUGACACUGACUAUCCUCGAUUCUCUGCUAAUAAUGUGCACACAUUUUGUUUGCUUUGGGUUUCGCUAAGAUUUCUCCAUCCCCGUGGUUCCUAGCAUAAAAUUUUGGGGCAUCGAUCCAAAAGACAAUCCUAGUAUGAUCCACUGGACUGAACAGAGGAUCCUGAGAGUGGAUAGUACACUUCUUCAGUGUAAUACCCAUGUGUGAUAUGAUGUCCGUACUUCCCUGCUCCGAAUUUCUUGUCUGAAGAUCUUGCUCAGAGACAUCUGGUUUUCUCUCGAAGAGCAGUAAGGAGGAAUGUUGACCAUGCUUGUAUUCAAGGAUAUCUCUCUCCUAGCUAGCCAAGCUAUAUUCUGACUGACUACUCCACUCGCAUCAAGGGAGCCAAUUCAGAAAAGAUUGACACGAUUUUACCUGGGCAUUGACUUCUGCAACCGUGCCAGAGUUGGAGGUGUCGCUGUUAGCCUUCUUGUACCUCUCAAUGGUGGCCUUCACACUGCAAAGUUGUCAACUGUUGGAGUUAGUACACACUCUCUUUUUGAAGAAAAUUUUAUAGUCACUAGGUAUUAUAAUCACAUGUACACAAGCAACUAACUGCUUAAUAAGAACAAUAUAAUCAUAAAAUUACUCAAAAUCAUACACAUUUUCUUUAUACCGCUGAUCAAAUUAGUUGCCCAAAGGGCCGGGUUCACUAUCUUCACACUGUGUGACACUACUGAAAGAGCCAAGAAGAACCGUAGGCAGGAUGCACACUCAGACACUCUGCAGGUUCUCUAUGAAUUCAUCAGAGAGUAAAAGGCGAAGCAACCCAUACAAUCCAAGCAAGAGACCGAACAGUAGAAUACAGCAUCGUAUAACACAUUGGUCCGAAGCCUGUGCUCGCACAGCUCACAGGUCAUCUUUUAUGAGCCAUGCAAGCCUGUCUGCAACAGUGGUUUUCUCUUUACCGAGAAUCUUUUGCCUCUAGACUUCAGAGCUUCUCCAUGGUACAGUGCCACCCGACAUGCUACAGUAUUCACACCAUCAAUUAACGAGUGGCUAGUGGCUACAGAUUGCUAAUAUAAUCUAUUUUCAUAAUCUUCUAAAGAAGUACUCCCUCCAUCCUAAAUUAUAGAUCAUUUUGACAUUUCGAGAUUUAUAGAUAUUAUUAUGCAUCUAGAUAUAGGAUAUAUCUAAGUGUAUAAUAAAGUCUAUAAAUCUAAUAAAGCUAAAACAACUUAUAAUUUGGAACGAAGGGAGUAGAAAACAAGGCAAGUAUAAAUAAUAUUUCUGUGAAGUUUCACCCCGGCCUCAGCCGAAGGUCCUGCUAAUGGAAAAACGACAACAGGAAGGUGAAGACUACAAGCUGAAAAAGUAACAGAGUGCGUGGAAACACUGGAUACACAUAUGCCAUGUGCUGUAAAUGCAGCAAAACGAACAAUUGGAUUGAAACUAUUAUUUAGUAAGAAUAGAUCCAUAUAUGCGCGGCUUUGAGAAAGCCAUAUUCACUCGUCCAUCUCGAGAAUCAUAUGGACGUUCUCAUCGUAUUCGAGAACGAACGGUGAGUAUAUUACAAUUUUCUCUAAAUGGAAAAUUCAGAGAAGGUUGAUAUUUAUCAAUUUAAGUUUCCUUUUAGUGUACUUCAGACAUCCUUUCAGAGCUUAACAUCCCAAGGAUGACAGAGAGAAACUGGAAUUGGAUUCUUGAAACAUAGAUUUGACAAAAAAAAGGAAUUUUGGACUUAAAAUAUGAUAUUUUCUUGAACAAAACAAGGCACGUAUUUUUUCUGUGAUAAAAAACAACCAUUAGCUUUAAGGAGCAGAACACUUUUUUAUACAGAGAAUGCAACUUAAAUCAAAACAUAUUGGAGAAAACAUAUUUUCUUUUUAACUGAAGAAUAAUAAUGCCACCAAAUUCAAAUUUAUUAAUAGAACUUGAAAUUGUAAGUGCAGUGGUAGGGCUGCACACUAACAAUCUUUAUCAAUUAAACAAGGAUUAGUUCCCCUGGAGAGUUGAAACUCCAAAACAUUUUUCAAGCAAAUUCUUAGAAACAUACUAGUCAAUACCCCAGCUAAUCUUUUCAAGCAAAAUUAACUCCGCUAGCUGUUAUUCGCUCCAGAAACUAACACUUGAUUAUUAUUUUUUACAUUUGGUUGGUAAUAGACCAAUAUGAAAUCAAAAUUAAGAUGAUGUGAGAAAAAUGAAGAUGGCCCACCAAAAUUAAAGAAUGAACCUAACAACAAGCUUAAGUAUAUACCAGGGGCAAGAAAAGCACUUCCCUAACAUACAAACAGAAUACACAGAUGCAGUAAGCUAGUAUUCUAGGUAGGUAGUGAUCAUUGGGUACCAAACGUAUCCCAGAAAAUUCUCAGAGAAGAUUUUUUUUUCAGAGAUCUCUUUUGUUCUUGCUACUGGAAAUUGACUAGCUAGUCUUUGCAUACUCCUCACCAACUUCAAGCCCUUUUAUCCACACAAAAUAAUAUGCACAAUGCCGCAUAAAAUACACAACAAAUAAGCGAUGAAACAAAAUUGCUAUAUAUGGAUCAGAGACCCCCUCCCCCUAAAUGACCAUAACAUGGAGGUGCAUUAAUUGGAAAAUCAAGAUUUGAGCAGCACGUCACAUCACAAGGAGGCCCUGCUCCAAUGCAAAGGACCAUCAGCAGCUACUGCAAUGCAAAACGCUCACAUCCCUCUCAGCAGGCUCCUCGACAAAUGACCAAAGAAAUGAAACCUUAGCAUCCUCGAGUACCCUGUCCGGUGGGUGGCCAGUGUUGCUCAGCGGCUGGCACAGGAUUUCACAUGAUUGGGUUGGAACAGUGAGCAUGUUUUACCCAAUGGGUAAAGGAGUGCAGCAAGCCAGCAACACACAUCAACACAAGAGAUCACUCCUCGGCCCUUGGCUUUUACCCAGGCCUUAACCACUCUGACCAAGCUACCAGCUUUCUUUACUCCUCGUGCAGUCUCCCAAUGCAAGACGAUGCAGGCCCAGUGGCAGGCAGGCCAGUGCUCCUGCUGCCCAUGCCCCAUGCGCCCAUGCCAUUGGCUUCACAGCAGCCUGUACGCACAGGCACCAGUCACACAGACCGAGCCAUGAACAAAAGGCAAUGGGUUUUGCUUGCAUGCUCCUGCUUCAUCUAUUCAGAGUUGCUACAGUGAAUGCAUGGUCACGUGUCAACACAGAUUAGUGCUCCUAGCAUGCUGUGUCAACAUUUUGUUGUUUUGCUUUGGGAAGCAAAUAUUGGGAGACACUGAUCCCCAAAAGAAUAUGGGAUAUGGAAACUAGUAUACUGGUGGUAGUAGUCAAUUAUAUACUUUCUAUUAAUCAAGCUUCAUUAGAAAGCUUGUUUUUUUGGAUUUUUAGAGAAGAAUAGGCAAAUUGACUUUCAUUCUCAUUUAUACUUUUUACAUGCAUAUUAUGGUUACCCCCACCAGUUACAUAAAGUAACCCCAUUGUUUUACUAAACAUGCAUCUGCUUAAUAUCACUUAAUUUUUCUGUGCAACAGCGACUAGUGAAGUCAUAAGACUCAAUUAUAUGUUCAGAUGUCAUUGUUCAUAUGCCAUGUUGUCUUGUUGUUUAUUUAAAGAAAGCAUAAUAUGCAUGAUUUAUUUAAAGAAAGCAUUGCUUAGUUCCUAUAACAUACAAUUAUUCAUAAUAUGCAUGUAGGCAAAUUGACUCCAGAACAUAAUUCUUCACUCUCAAUUUAUUUAAAGAAAGCAUUGCUUGAUUUCCUAUAACAUACAAUUAUAGGGAAAGCUUCAGUAAAUGAUCAGCUAGCUGGUUUAUUUUUAUUUGCUUAUUACCAUACUAAUUGCGUGUGUUUGCUGAAAAGACAGCAGCUCAUUGUGGUGAUCUUUAGUUCUUAUUAGUGUAACAAAGAAUUGUGUGUUGAGACAGGCAUACACAUGCAUACAUAGAAAAGGCUAAAAUACUCUUGUGUAGACCAAAUUAAAUGUCAAAAUUCACACACAUACCCAACCACUUUACCACAAAACGUUUGUGUUUGUUUCCUCUUGAAAAGUACAGUCUUGGUGUCAGGUGCAUGAACAACUCCCGUGAAGGCGCCCGGGCAAAUUUUUUUGCACCACACACAGUCACACACACGGUGAAUUGGUGACGUGAUGUGAUGAGAGAGAGGGAGAGAGCGCACAUGGGAUGAAGCCCUUGGCUGGCUGGGACAGAAGGAGAUGAUGCAAGAGAAACUGAAGAUAGUAGUAGCCAUUUCCUUUAUCUCUCUUCCUUGUUACCUCACACAGACUUUCGUGGACACAUCUUGUACCAUACCAACUGGUACAGCAAGAAGGAGCAACCCCAAAGACCAUCACCACCUCGCAGCAGCUAGAUCUGCUUCUACACAAGCAAAGAUACAAAAGGGAAAGAGGGAGAAAGGGAACCCAAGGGUAGAGACCAUCACCACCUCGCAGCAGCUAGAUGCCUUAUAUUUUGUGUGCAAAUAUGCUUAUAUUUCAUACCAUGAGGUGUGUGAGAUCUAAAGCUCUUGCAUGCACGUCCCUUCUCUCUCUACAGCUCUGUCACACACAUGAGGAAGCCAGGGAGCUAGCAGAGUGAGAAAGGAAAGGGCAUAACUACAGCAAGAAAAAGAGCAGGACCACCAUGGCCAAAGAGGCUCAGCUCUCUCUCUCUCUCUCUCUCUCUCACACACACACACACACACACACACACACACAAGGUCGAAAGGCUGAGGACAUACUACACAUACAGCAAGCUCUGUCCUAGAUCUAUCUAAACAUCUAGCUCACCUCACCUCGCCUCACAGGAGCAGAGGGGAAUGAAAAUACAGAGAAAGAAGCUGUUGUAAUUUCCUUUCCCCUUGUUGCUCUUCUCAGGAAUACCAAAAUAAACAAGACAGCAGUUGAUAACAGAAUGAAGUAACAACAAAAGAUGCAGCUCCCAUUUGACCCUCCCCACACUUUUGCCAAGAGAAAGCUAGGAGCAAACUUGCUCCAAUUCGGACAGUGCAAGAAACUGAAAACAGAAAAGAAGCAGCAUGCGCGGUGUGUAGGAUCUAAGAUUUACAUAUAUGUAUAUGUGUGUGUGUGUGUGUAUACACAUAUACAUACAUACAUACAUAUAUGCAUACGCAUAGCCUUUUGUUUACUGUUCUAAAUAUGCAUAUGUAUAUAUAUGUGCGCUGAGGAGUUGAGAUCGAUGGCAUUUGCAUCACCUGUUGUUGGCGUACUCGUAGAGGCGGCCGCGGCUGGAGAAGACGAUGAGCGCGACCUCGGCGUCGCAGAGCACGGACAGCUCGUACGCCUUCUUGAGGAGGCCGUUGCGGCGCUUGCAGAAGGUGACCUGCCGGUUGGUCGUGUUCUCGAUGCGCUUGAUCUCGAUCUUGCCCCUCCCCGGCUUGUCGCCGGAGCCGGUCGGCGCCGGCGGCUGCUCAGUCACCGUGGACGGCCCGCAGCUCAGAUCAGUCUGAACAGGAACCGAAUCAACAAGCGGUGCAAGAAAUAAUAUACACAGGAUAUUAAUGACCUGCUCUACGAAAUCAAAUAAAGAAUUUCCUAAGAGAGAGCAGGCAUGCAUGCAGGUAGCUGUGAUCUGUCUCUCUAUCAAAUUUCAGAAGGAAGUAGCUGCAUACAUGAUCCAUUUCCUAUCUUGCACUUUGCCUUUUGUGGUGUGCCUUUUUUCCCCCAAAAAAAUUAGAGACCAUAGGCAGCAGCCAUGUAUGUUCCUCUUGUUGCCUCUCUAGCUAGAUUCUUACAACAUAGCAACCAAGAUUCUACUACACCUAUACUGCUAUACAGAUGAUGCAAAGAGAGAAAGGAAGCUAGCUGAGUUAUUAACUUCCAGGAGCAAGACAAGAGAUAAUUACCAUCAUGUUGAGCAUGGAUGGUGUGGCAGUGCCUCUUUGGGCUCUCUCUGGAGGAAGAGAUCCAGAGAGGGAAACAAGAGGAUGUGAGAGGAGGAGCAGGGGGAGAGGAAGAAGAGGGAUGGGGUAUUAAAGAGAGAGAGAGGUGAUGGGAGAAGAGAGGAAGGGGAAGGUAUGUGAGGUGAUGCAGUUAGGAGCAGCUGUAUGUAGUGGCCAAUUGCUAUGGCCUUUGUUGCAUUGUUCCCCCCUUCUGUCUUGCAGAGAUCCCUUUUUUUAUUUACCAAUGCUUUGAUCUCUCUUGUGGCUGCUGUCAGGUCUCCACAUAUAUCCUUCCAUCUACCUCAGCAGUCAGCAUGUACGCCUGUAACUGGAUCCGUGUAACUUGAGGGAAUUGCUUUGUUUGUAUUGGUACACAGUUACCACAAAAAUCGUUAUGGCGCAGCAAGGCUAUUUCUUGCUUUGCUCUUUCCGGGUUGCACUUUUACCAAGCUGAGUGAAAGAGUACGCUAGUACUACUUAUAGGCAGGCUCUACUUGUGACAAUGCUAGUUCAUGUUAAGCUAACCUUGUAUUACAUACAGCUCGAUCAUCAUUGUGUCUUGGAAGAAUUAGUUUGCAAUUGUUUCUGAAAUAUUUUUUCCAGAACACAUUACUGUUAUCUGUUUCAAUUCUUUCGCUGGUUAAUUGAUUAAUUAGCAUGACGGUGCAAUGGAUUUUAUCAUCUAACAAGAAGUUGCAGUUUUUUACAAGGAAAUUAAUGAAUUUGAGCUACUAAUCCAAAUUAAACAUAUAAAUGAUUUCUUUUUGCGAGUGAUUAACAUGUUAAUUUGUGCACGCAUUGUUAUCGAUCCCUUAAUUCAUAUUUUACCAUCAGUUUUUUUUUGCACAGUUUGUGAUCAGAUAUCAGAGCUGAAGGUGCAACAAGGCAUACGAGAGAGACAUUGUUUGCUUAUGCCCCCUGUUCCCAUGUGACAUCGCACAAACACUGUCCCAUUUCUGUUUGGAACAUAUGCGUAUAGUGAAUAUAUGAUGCAGGGAUAAUGGCCAAGUACUCUCCAGCGGCGACAUCCUAUUUAUUUCAGCUCCCAUUUCUGUUGCUCUCAUGGCCUCAUGGGAUGGGACCCUUGCUGUUAGCCCAACCCCUGGCCCUCCUCACAUAUAAUGUGGUGGAUGCAUCGCCCUCUUGGCCUCUUCCUUGCCCACCGCCCUCUCCCACUCACCCGGCUAUCUCCAUCAGUGACCUGGGGCCAGUGAUACAUGGAUAACCAUCGCACUUCGACGACCGUCAGACUCAGAUCGAUCAUCAACCUUGCUACCUGUCGAAAUUCCAGUGCAAUUUGCGCAAACGUCGCGCCACUUUCGGUCCGGUGGAAGCACUUCCUCGACAUGUCAUUGUGAAGUUACCACUCAAUGGGCUGCCCCUAAUCCAUGUAUAUCAGCAGUCAGUCUGAAGAUAGGUUGGUGGCAUGGAUACAUCAGAGUUGGGAGCAUGAUCCCAUUGCAAACUUGUAGCCUGGGUUGGGCUAGCUGCAGGGUGCAAACUUGUAGCCUGGGUUGGGCAGUUCGGUGCAAAUUAAAGUUUAACUGCUAAGGAACUUGCAGAACUUCUUCCUCUCAGAAUGGAGCAAGAAAGUUCAAAAUUUGUUGGAAAGAUAUGUUCUUUUCCGGGUUUUUAAAAUCAGCCUCCUUUUAACAUUACUAUCAGCUGCCUGACUUUUAUGGGCUCGCCUUUCCUGUGUAUGCAGAAGGAGAAAAGACAUGAGGAGUUUCAGAAGUGGCCAUAGUUAUUCAGCGAGAUGCAGGUGGUUGUUUUGUUUCUGCAAGAAUUGUUGCCACGGUCUCAAGCCACUGGAUCCUCGUUGCUGAGUAUUGCAACUAGCCAUGCAUGCAUGACACCAAAGUUCUGCACCUGAAAAGAAGAAGAAACAAGCAAUGGUACAGCGUUUCAAAGAGAUGGGUAGUAUAUUGGUACCUACGACCUACUAGUAACUAGUAUAUUUGAAAACCACCUGGAAUUAGUUGGAAUCGCAAGAACUAAACAAAAAUCAUCAUAUUAGGACAGAGACAAGAACCAGAAAACGAGAAGAGAAAUAAAUAAAUUUACAUGGCAUCAAAUCGACAAGCUUGCAAGAUGUGAUCAAAUCUGAAAAGUUUGUCGUUCUAUAUUGGGUAAUUGCCAGAAGGACCGAAAAGUACAGCUGAUUGAACCAUGGUGAUGUGAAACCAAAACGUCCAAUCAAAAACUGCACACCGAGGGGUGGUUGACCUUUGCACACAUGGUAUUAAAUAACAGGUGCAUGCCUUGACACAACGUGCCAUCCAUCCAUGUGUUCCACCAACCAAUCAAAAGUUCUUGGAUUAUAGCUUUGUAAUUCUACUUAAUUAUGCACUAUUGAAAAUUUAACUUGACUAAGACUGAACAAACCACCGACUAGAUGAUGCUGUGGCACCGAAAAUGACGGCUCAUUCGAUAAUCUCAGAUUUAAUUAGGUGGGCAAACCGUGCUGGAAGCAUGUUCAGGAGUCCAUUUCAGUAUCAACAAUGGAUAGAUGUUUGCAUUGUAGACUUGUGGUUCCAAAGAUAUCAGAAUCUGCCAAUUUUUGGACCAUGAAUAUUUUUGGCUUUCUGAACUGCUUGUUGGACUAAUCAAAACCAAUAAGAAAGCGAGUUCUGAGCACCCUACGUCACCCCCGCGUGGGCGACUCCGGCGGGCACCGAAACCCCCGCUGCCGCCCCCUCCACCGACGGCUGCCCUUGCCGCGCCGCCGCCUGAGCGGCAACACCCAUGCGGCUCGCGAUGAGGGUGGCAGCGGGGCCCCUUCCCCUUCCUCUGGCGGAUCUAGGCGAGCGCGGACGCCAAUGCCACCUGAGGGGGCUCGCCGGCAUGGGCGGCACCCUGCGGCGAUAGAAGGCCGGGCAGCCACGGAUCUGGCACGGCGCCGGUCGGAUCCGAUGGCUGUGCGACCGGUGCGUCCCCGAGGCGGUGGCGGCGGCGGCCGGCGGCGGUUGGGCGUGGCGGUCGUGGAUGCCGCGUGAGUAGGGCGACGGCCAGUGUGGGUGUGACGCACCGUGCGACGUCGGUCCGGACAGGGGCGAGUGAAGAGUUGGCUGUGGCAGGCGCGGCCCCGUGCAUCCCCGAGGCGGUGGAGGCGUCGGCCGAUAUUGAUUUGGCAGGGUGGUCGUGCACGGCGCGUGUGGAGGGCGACGGCCGGCGUGGGCGUGACGCCUCGUGCGGCGCUAGCCCGGCCAAGGGCGAUGGGACCUCACGGUGGUGACUCUGGCCCGACGAAGAGGGGCAUGGAGACUGUGCGCAGCGUUGGUCACGGCAGGCGCAGCCUGUGGACCCGGUGGGCCUUGACGGCUGGCGAGCGUGGGGCGCAAGCGACCGGGAUGCGGCGGCGGAGAUGGCCUGGUGGCAGUGGCGUAAGGGGCGCCUCGGCGGUCCUGGGCUGCUGCGGGCGGUGAUGACCGCACGCGGCAGCUGCCGCGCACGCGCCAACAAUGUGGUGAGGCAUCAUGGUGGGGCAGCCAAAGGUGGUCUACGCGUGGCAAGAGGAGGCAUGACAGUAGCGCCGUACCCGGGUGGACUUUCAUGAUUGCCGUCUAGGGACUGUUGUGUUGUGUAUGUGCAGUGGCUAGGGAUGGGAUGCUCCGGGUGAAAGCUUUUGCCGGCGAUCUUGCUGGUGGCGAUGGCAGCGGCGCCCUAGGACGUCGUUCUCCCUAUUGGGGGCGGCAUCUUGGAGCUCCAUCCCUGUUGCACAGGGUUCUCUGGUGAAAACUCUGUCCAGAUGCUGGAUGAGCGACGGCGGCACCACUGGCGUCGUCCCCUCCUUGGAGGCAUCGUCUCUAGAGACCCAACUCAGCUUGUGGCACUGCUGGUGGCGUGUUGAUCAUGGGAGGCUGCAGCCGGUGGCGGCGUGGCAAGGUGGCAUGGUGCUGGAUGGAAAGUUUUGACGGGGGUUGCUGAGCUCAUGUGAAGGUGAAGGCGAUCGCAGGUCUAGUGGCGGCUAGGGGUUGUCACUUUGUUGUCAGGCUGGCUGCUUGCAAUGGCUAGGGGUUUCAUGUCUGUACAGGGUCAUACCUGGAGGUUUCGGCGAUUACAUGAGAGUGCGAAUAUUGGUGGAUGUCACGUUUAGGCUUCAGUUUGGCUGCCGUUGUUGAGUGGAGUGGUGCAGCUGUGUUGAUGUCUCAAUCCAACCGGUCGGUUUUGACGUUUUUGAGCUGAGUGGCUACCGCGUUGAUGUCCCAAUCCAACCGGACGAGUAUAGAUUGUUUUUCUUUCUUAUUUUCUUUUGCUUUCCUGCCUAUGGCCUCCCAGGGUCGUAGACUUGUAUUUUUUCUGCUAUAUCAAUGAAACUCGCACUAUCUUGUGCGGUUCGUUAAAGAAAAACAAAAAAACAAAUAGUUUCCUGCAAUAAUACACGAAUUGCAUCAAUCCAUGGUCAGGACGUUGUAGGUAGCGUACGUGUGCUGAGACACGUAUUCUCAUGGACGACGAUGUACUCAUGUAGUCGUGUGCGAUGCAUCAUCAUUCAAGUCUGUGAAAAGCCAACAGGUGCAGGGUUUUGAUCGAGUCCCACUGCACUAGCAGCUAGAAGGACUUCUUGCUGGGGGCUCACCACUGCUGCAGCUAGCUUUCGGCCAAUUAUUAGACCACUGUGGCAGCCUCCAGUGAUCCAGCAGGCACAUUCUAGUGUUGUUCGGAUGGGAAUGCAGGAGCAGUUCCCAUCUGGAAAGGCAUGGGGUUUACUGCAAGCAUCAGAAAUCAUUGCGGUUGGUACUCAUGCCUGACUGCAGCACUGAGCCUUGUUUUGGAUGGUGAAGCACACUACUCACCAGAUUUAAUUUCAUACAAGUUUAUACAUGAUAAUUCUGUAAAGUAGACCAGAUAUACGUUGGAUUGAUAUUGACUGCAAAUUUACAGUUUGUCAGUUUUGCAAAAUAUCUUUGCAGCAGGUGCUUAAUUAAGCAUCAGUUUGUUUCUAAAGUGAAAGUACAUGUCCUAGUAGGAUACAGCACAAUAUCAUGUGCAUUCAUAUGAAUGUUCCUGACGAAUUCAAGGAGCCAGAGAUGGACAGAGCACAAGUAUACUGACAUGACAUAUCAAGGACAUACAGAGUGCAGUUGCUGCGUGCUCAGGAACUCAAGGGAGGUUCAGAGAACUUUAACCAUCCGACUUCAUCUUCUCAGCAGGCACACACCCACAUAACCAAAGCUUUACUGGUUGGAAAAGGAGAGGUGAGUACACAUGCAAUGCAUCGAUCACAGGCACACAGCAAAUGAAGGGAGGUUUAUAACAACCUUGGCUCAAAUGGGCAGGCUAUGGAGGAGAUGCUAUGGCAGCCACACUGAUUGUUUUCCACAAGUGAGCAUGCUCCCACAUGAAGGAAAAGAUCUCUACCCUGAUCUGCUUGCCGGAGGCCUCAUCCCUCAAGCAACAGGGAUGCAUGCUGGUCGAAAGGGACUAGGGCCAUCAUAGUGCUAACUGACAUGUGACACUUUCCUAAACGCAUAACUGCCCUCACAUGUAGUAUGUGCAGAAGCCGUGUUGCAGCCUUUCAGGAUCACUGGAUUCACUCACCUCCUGAAUAAAUGUCUGGAUUUUCACCGAAAUUUGUAGUAUACAACUAAGCUGCCGCACGGCCUAUGUUUUAACAGUAUACCCAGUUUCAACAUGCAAGUCUUGAUAGAUGUCCUUGGUGUAUUUGAGGCAAGAUUUGUGCCCCUUGAACCCUAUGCUAGGAAAUGUUCAGGUUGUUGGAAGUGCUAUCUGUCUUGCCGAUGAAAGGCACGGCAUGCAAGAGGCCCUGCAGCUUGUCCAGAAAGCUGGAUGAUUUCAGUUCCAAAAAAAAACAAAGCUGGAUAAACUGAAGUCCGGGUUACAUCCAAUUAACAAUGACGUCGUACGCGUCCAAAAGCAUCCAAACCGCCUCAUUUAGUUUGGAAUAUGUCCCAAAUUGUAUGUCGUUUUAGCUUUUGUAGAUUUAUAGAUGUUUAUAUACAUCUAAAUAUAGUAUAUGCCUAGACGCGUAUAAACACCUAUAAACCUAGAAAAGCCAAAACGAUCUAUAAUUUGAGACGGAGGAGUAAUAAUCUUUGCUGCGAUUCUUCAGAGGCCAAUGCUUGUGCCGUUCAUCUUUGACGAAUCCAUGGAUUUUUUUUCCUCGACGCAGAAAUCAAUGAUGAGAGCAUCACAGCCUGAAUUUCUCGAGUUCAGCACAGCAGCCUGAGGAACAAAAAAAGAAUAUUUAUUGAUUCGGAGUUUCAGACUCUGAAGAAAAGGUCCAAGAAAGCACAGUGCAGAAACAGACAGCUCUGAAAAAGUUUCAGAAAAGCGCCUGCCCGAUUAGCUUAAUUCAACAGUUAGGCGGCCUCGUCUGCAAAGAAAGACCAUCCAAAAGACGGAUGGACGACGGCGAACCACGCCGCGCCCUUUCGGUUGAGGCCGCACCACCGCGCCGGCCGGUGGUCGACGGGUCGGAUCGGAGGAGGCGGACACGCCGAGAUGGGCAAAUGGCCACGACGCGCGGGUGCGUGAUCUGAUAGGGACCCCGGAGUCGAGACCCUCGUGUGGUCCAUGGCCAUGUCCGUUUCCUUUCCCUUUCAUCUCAGCCCCAGGCCGGAGGACGAUGGAGAGGCUCAUGGUGGAUGCCCCGGCCGGCCAGGGUGCCCAAAAGCCUGCACGGCCUCCACUUGCAACAAAAGCGCCAAAGCGCAGGCCCGGCAGCCAGAAUAUAUUUCUUCCUCCUUUAUUUGCAUCUUAUACUCCAUCGAUCGAUCGAUCGAUCGGAUCCCAUGGCAGUUUAACAGUCUUGCAGCAUCUUGCAGUUCAGGACUUCAGGUAUCUUCGCGGUUUUGCUGUUUGACCUUUGCUCCUGCAGAAAGAUGUCGUGAUCUUGUGACUUCAGAUCACCAGUUUUCAUCACAGUAAAAUUUACAAUGUCAGAGCUGUGUGAAAUAAACCCUGUCAUCAGCAGGGAAUCCUGGACGGCGGUUGGAUAUGAUCCUUGAUCUUAUUGCCGGCCGGGGACCGGCGAUCAGGGAAGGAAAUCUGGGCGGAUCCGGCGGUGACAUGGGCGUGUACCGGAAGGAGAGCGGGCGCAGGAAACGGCCACGGCAGCGGCGUGAGGCGGGUGCCAGCUCUGUGGGCAAGCGUGACGGUGCGAGAGGUGCCCGUGUCCACGCCCUGUCGAUGCGCCGGAGGACAAGGUGGCUUUCUCCCCCCAACGGACUGUCGCCGGCGUCGUACCGGCGGCUGCCGUGCACGCCUCGUGCCCAUCGAUUGGAAUUUGUGCUGACAAUCAGAUAUUUUGCAGUGAAAUCAGAGCUGAUGUGAUCACGAUGUGAACAUUUUGUACCAAAUCCGACCGCCGUCUACAUUGAAUUGUACGAAUUUCCUGUCCUUUUCGAAGGUUCUUCGGAAUAAAUUUAAACAACUUUAAAUUCGGGAACAACAACUUUUAACACUCAUGUCUGAGGCCGGUAAACUGAAAUUAGAGUGAGAAGUGAGCUUCUGAUUUUAAUUCUGACACUGAAUAUAAGCCCUGAACAUGUAUCUCUAUGCUGUAACUCACGGUUUUACACGCUUCAAGGUUUGCGUGAUACCAUAUCGAUGAAGUUAACAGUAUCGAAAUGAAUUUGAUAACCGUGAGUUAACUUCCAUUUCUACCUAUGAAGUGUGUGUGGGACUAGUGGAUCUGUACCCAAUUUAAUUUGAUUAUUUUUAAUUAUGUUCCCCGAUCAAUGGCUAGCAAAAGUUUAAUAAAAAAAGGUACCUGGAAACACCAACUAGCAGCAACAAGAUAAAAAAGCAUUUUGACCCGUUAACUUGGUGUAAAGAUCAUAUUGGUGAUGGAACAUAUGCACAGACUUAAUUUCAUCCAUUGGAUCGAACCACAACGGCCCAUAGGAAAAGGUUGGAGUUCCCCAAUGGUAUUUAUGUAUUCUUUUUUCACAAGUUUGCUCGAGCCUAAGCUGGACUUGGAGCAUGGGGGUACACUCCGCUUCUCCAACAUGGCCUGCUCAGAUUUAAUCCGAGAAAUGUCAUCAAGUUUGUGCAUAUGUUCAUCGGUAUGAUCUUGUGCACCGGAUAUUUCCCACUAACAUAGAGCACCGCGACAUAAAAAAAAACUACCUUGUCUAGUUUUCCCUUAAAGCCAUGAACUCCAGAUGGCACAACCAGUUCAAAUUUUUGUCACACACCUGAGCUCACUUGCCAUUUUUCAAAUUUUUGUCUUUUUUUUAUAAAAAAGGGAAUAAACAACUGCAGAACUAAAGGGAUCUGUCGAAGUCUUCCAAGCCACGGAACAAAACCAUGUACCCUCCAUAUGAUAUCAGGUAUCCUCCACACAGUACAUUGUAUCCUCUCACAUCACCAUCGCCAUCGAUUGCCUAUGCCAUCAGCUUCAAUUCCUUCAAAUACAGUGAGCAGGAAAAAAGUUAAUAAAUUUGCAUACAACACACUGGUUAUGAAAGUACCCAAACGACAAAACAGGAAAAUCAAGGAGAAGAAAGACACAGAUAGACUGGCUCGUUGUAGUGUAUUGCCAACCCCGUUUUUUUUACUGGUUCUCAACAUUUUACAGUUCUUUAGUUCAUUGUAAAAUUUUGGUCGUACCAAAAUCCAAACUCUGGGCAGCUGGGUAGUGGAUUUAGCACCCUGGCCAAUCUAUAGACUAUAGUGACAGUGCUAAAGCAAAUGCUCUCAGAUGUGCGAGCAGAAGCAAAGGUGCAGUGAACAGCAGAAGGUUGAGGCCUGGUUUGGUUUACGCUGCUUAUUUUUAAGCACCCGUCACAUCGAUAUUUAGAUACUAAUUAGAAGUAUUAAACGUAGAUUAUUUAUAAAACCCACUACAUAAGCGGAGGCUAAACGGCGAGACGAAUCUAUUAAGCCUAAUUAGUCCAUAAUUUGACAAUAUGUUGCUACAGUAAAUAUUUGCUAAUGAUGGAUUAAUUAGGCUUAAUAGAUUCAUCUCGCCGUUUAGCCUCCACUUAUGUAAUGGGUUUUAUAAAUAAUCUACGUUUAAUACUUCUAAUUAGUAUCUAAAUAUUCGAUGUGACACAUGCUAAAAAUAAGCAAACGGAACCAAACAGCCUUUGAGGCGAAUUCUUGCAGCUGCAGAUGCCGAUGCUGCAGGAACCGACAGAUUCCCACAUUUGGCCGUGCUCGUGAUCGUGAGAUGGCCAGAUGGACCGACCAGUGGUCACAGUCAGAGAUGGAUACUGGGCCGAGGAGAUUGGGCCUUGCAAAUUACUACAGAUGGACACGAGUGUAUAUAUGUGACAAACAAAUUGCACUUUGGUAUGUAUGGGUGUACAUACAUGUAGCACAUGUCCAUGUUUGAUACAAUGAAGUACUUCAUGUUCCAAAAAAAUGUAGGUCAUUUUAGUUUUGUCCCAAGUCAAACUUCUCUACCUUUGACCAAAUAUAUAGAAGAAUAAACAACAUCUACAACAUCAAAUUAUUUUCGUUAAAUACACCAUUAAAUGUGUACUGAAAGUGCAUUGUUUGAUAUCUAGGAGCUAUUAUAGUUUUCUAUAAAUAUGGUUAAACAUAGAGAAGUUUGACUAAGGAUAAAACUAAAACGAUCUACAUUUUGAAAAAAAUGGAGUAGCAUCCUUUGCACUUCGUUAAAAAAAAUGACGUUUUUAAUGGACACUUUAUCAGGUGUCCCACUUUGGGCGGUUUUCAGAUAUUUAAAGCUUCUCUGGCUGAAUGGAGGUUAAUAGUAGUUGAAAAACGUCAAAAACAUGCUUGGCACACAGUAGUAAAGCUCUACUAAUUUUAACAUGACCCGAUGUUAACAGAAAGAAGUUACAUAUAGAAAUACUUCAGCACCCAUUUCCUUUCUUCAUCUUUUUUUAGAAAGAAGGAACACAAAGCUGUCAAAUAUAAAAGAAUCUAUUCUGAGUAAAAAGUAUUCCACUUCAUAUUAAAGCGAGGCAAAAAUAUUUACAUACAACUAAAUGAAUUCAACCAUCUGUUGAAAGUUACUCCAGUGAAGCAACUGCAAUGUCGAAAAAGACAAGAUGGCAACAAGAAAACAGAAACAAACAAUGAAUAGCCAUACCUUCAAAACCUGUAACCUCUUCAUCAGGAGCUGCUCAGAAAACAUAUGAUUUUGGACUAGAACCUACGGGAACCUGCUCCUUUGUUCUGGUGAGGAGCCGAAACAUUUCCAUUACUGCUACCAAAGGACACACAAGAGUACAUUGGUGCGGAAUUGCCAUCCUCUGUAUUCUCACUCGGUAUCAGGAUAUGCUUCGCCCCGGGGCUGAGCUUCACUGGGCCUGACCUCAGCACAAAACGGCUGCUCGAUGAAGUAGCAUUGUCAGGAUCAGCUCUUGCCAUUCGAGUUCCUGCGUUUCUGGAUGGAAGGGCUGCUGAGGCUCUGCUAUCAGGAACUCCUUGAACUAUCUGGUCUGGGUGGUUCCAUGUAAAAUUUGCAGAGUUAUUAGGGUGAACUGAUGAGUUUGCAGAGUACAGACCAUAUGACAUAUGCAAAUUGGCAUGGUAAUCUGAAGACGGUGUCACAUGCUCCAUAUUUAUUGGUGAAAAUGGUGCUGAGGGCGAAUCUGUCUUAGUGGAAUGAUCAGAGUAAUAACACCAAGGAGGUGGCGAAUUCUGAAUAAAGGCAGCACUGCCAUGAUUGGAAAGAGGUGGACAUCCAAAUAGAACAUUUCUAUGAGAUUGCAAGUCUGUAAAGUCCCUCCACCUGUCUUCACAUCUUGGAUCACCAGAGAACACAUUGGCAGCGGGCAAAGGGUGGCUGACAUUAUGUGGGGUUCUGUGUCUAAAAUGUGCCUGAGUUGUGCUUCCUGAACUUGCUGAAAUAUGAGCUACCGUGCUUGCAGAACUUGCUGAAAUGUUGGGAAUACUCUGAGUUUGUAAUGAUAGGAAAGGCUGACCUUGUCGUGGCAGUUCCAACACCAACCUGUUGGUAAGAUGGUCUUUAGUAGGAUUUGGUUGUUUCUGUGCCGCCUCAGACCAAUUGUCGACUCUAGUAUUGGAUACUGUAAGAUCACGACCCAUCAAGCGCAAGGUUUGUCCUGCAGAAGGCCUAGAACCUUGUUGCGUGUUCAUUUCUGAAUGAAAAAUUUGUUUCUCACUGUGUGAUAGAUUAUGUCCUCGAAAUUGAAAGGAAGAAGGUUCACCUCCAGUUGAGAGCUGAGAGACACCAUGAUGCAUAGUCAUGGAGCACCAAUUUUGCAGCUGAACCGAAUCCUGAACAGUUUGGUUUCGCAGUAUACACGGGGACUUCAUUCUGUUGUCCAAGUCAGCUGCAUGUUGCUGUUCUUCUUGGGCAUAUGGAGUGAAAGACGACUCUUUAUGGCUUCCUUUUCCAUUGUCAAUAACUUGUUGAUCCAUACACUGAGUUCCAACCUGUGUAUGCUGAAGACAUGACUCCUCUGAAUUUGGAUCAUAAGGGCUGUUCAAGUCAGCAGGAUCUGGCAAUUUUUUAUUCAGAUCAAAUAAACCAGUGGACAUUACAGUACUACUGCGCUCGGAUUGAUAAUCACGAUUUGUGUUAUCAUUUGCAUCCUUAGCCAUAGCAAAGGCUUUCUCAGGCAUGCGAGAACUACUGCUUUCUGCAAUAAUGUGUUCCUCUUCACUGGACAUUUCUAUGGAUGAUGAUGAAGAAGAAUUCAUAGCAUCAGACAGUAGCUGGCAGAUACUUUCUAGUUGGGGUCUUUUGGAACAUUGCUUCUUACUGCCAAGUGCACCAUUUGCUUCUGAGAAUUUGACACGCUUAACCGAUUUGCGGCAGAGUUCUAUGACUCCAGGGCCUUUUGAAUUGCCAUGCUUUUCCUUAACCAUUUUGACGGAUGUAUGCUUCGUGUACUUCUUCAGAAUGCUGUGCAACGGGAGUUUUUUAAUAUCCCGAUGUUUCCCCACCUUAAUAGCCUUUGUACUCCCAAUAUACUUCAGCCUAUUAGCCUUCUUCUGUAAGCUAUUAUUGAGUCUUCCAUGCUUCCUUCUCUUAAGAUCAGUGAUCUUUUCCCUCUCUGUACUGAGAUGAUGUUCAUCAUCAUGUUCCUCUGAUGCAUCAGGAGUAUCCAGCCCAUCUCCCAAAUUUGGCUUGUCAAGUGAUGUCUGUAGAAUUGAUCAAUAUUAAAUGAUGACAACAGGUGCAUAUACCUGGAGUGAAUACAGAACAAUUGAAAAGUGCAUAUAUGUUUCCUGAUGAACCAGAAAAGUGGGUUCAUUAUAGAAGGACAAUCAAUUCAAGAUCACAAUUAUUAAAUCUAACUGAAUACUAACAUGUCACAAUGUUCAUCACAAUUAUAUAUGCUCACACAUAACUGAAUACCUAGGAGGCACAAAAUUUAAGCAUUUUUUUAUAGAAAUGCAUCACUCUUGUUCUUAGUAGAUAUAUUCAUCUAUCUGAUGAGAACACAUUUUAUAAAACUCUGUCAGAUAUUACUUUAAUAUCAAGACAUCUAGGUAUGCAUACUGGACAGACAUUGUGAAACAGAGGGAGUAAUAUUAUACAAACUAAAGGCUGUAAAAGAAACUAAUUUACUCCUUGAAUAUUAAUGUAUUUAUGGUUUUGGAACUAAGCACAUAAGUACCAUACAAAAACAUACUUGCAAGAUUCACUAACUUAUCUGUUGAAAUUUUGCCAAUACAAUGAAUAUUUCUUAUGUUGUUUGCAACCUUAUGAAAAAUAUAGUCCUAGAAUCAUGUUUGAUCAACACUGCCCUAUAAAUAUAGAUACUGGAAGCAUGAUGGAUGUGUAACAAGGGUCUAACACUUGCUAUAACAAUUCUCCAAUACAUGUUAUAGAAUUUCAGAAUUCGCUAUGCCAUUGAAUAUUUGGUGAUACAUUUUUUUUAAAAAAAAACAAGGGCAGAAGCCCUGUCACUCACAUACCACCCCGUGUAUUUGCCAAUACUCGGCAUGGACACAUCAGUUACUAGAACCACAAUGACUACACUCAUGUGCCACCCUUGUGUAUUUGCCAAACCUCAAUAUGGACGCAUUAGUUACUGGAACCAUGGGCAUUGACCGGCAUGGUGACAUCAAUGUUGACUACAAUAAUGGGAACAAUGUCAACAAAGAACUAGGUGUCGUAGGACAUCGGAUAUAGUAGUGUAGACAUGAGUGACACUCUUGUUGUAGAGAGGUGCAAAUCUGCCAUCCUACACAUGGCACUUGUUUUGUUCUGUACUGGACAAAGCAUGACAUUGUUUGCGACAUGGAUAGAAUGGUCGUAAACUCUUCUUCCUUGAUAACUAUUGUACCAGUUUGUUUAUGCUUCUUGAUUCACCUUGAGAAUCUUCAUUUUAUUUAGGUAGAAGAAGACAUGGCCAGCAGCUCUAGUGUGGUAGUGCUAAGCAGUCAUAAGAGACAAGUACAUGCAGAGUCCAGCAAACAUAAAUGCUACAAUGAGAACUUUCGGAAGAGAUACUUUACAUCAUUAUUUCAAUAUUGAUAUGUGCAUUGCAAGUCUCUUCAAUAAGGAUGCAUUGACUUGACCUCCCAUACUUGAGGAAACUGAUCUACAAUACAUUAAAUAUACUCCUAACAACUACACUUAUUAGAGUUCAUUACACUAGCGGUCCUUGAACUUAUGCCAUGGUGUUAUAUAGGUCCUGGAAUUUGCACAUUGACUCUCAAAAUGCAUAUUCAGGUCCUUGAACAUUUUAAAUGUGCCACUCGAGGUCCAAAACAAAUAAGUGAUUAACGAGGUUAAUUGCAGAUGCCGGUGAAGAAAGAAUGGUGAGGGAGAAACAAAGCGGAGAAAGAAAAGCAGUGACUGGAGUAGGGAAGUUAAGAGACGAAAAGAGGAUUCCUCGCUUCUCUCUAAUGCAAAACCAUGCAUGGGACUUUCACCUCGCACAACUCCUAAGUGAUAAAAGAAAGAAGAACAUGUCUUCUUUCUUUUUUUAAUUACCUUGCUCGUGUGAGUAUAAGAUUGAAUUCAUUCUUUUUCGAAAUGGUUUCAAAGAAGAACUACUAAUGCUUAACUUUUAGAGGAAUCCUUCAUAGUGGUUGUGAAUGAUUGACUUUUUCAAAACUUUCGACCUUGGUGAAAGGUUGAGAAAUAGAACCAAAUGCCGAGACAAGUUUAAGACAUGAAGGUGGGGUAGGGAGUUUUCAAGGUAAGGAGGUGCAUUCAACAAGCUUAGAGGCAGCUAGCGAUGUCACAAUGUGGUGAGGUGCUAGUGGAGGUAGUGGAUAGUUGGAGGAGGGAGGGAGGACAAAGGGAUCACUUAGAACCACAAGAUUAGUUUUCUCUCCUUAUUAUUCAAAGUUGUGUAUAGAUUGUGGUGGUGAUCACUAGAGAAAGUUGGUGAAACAUGUAGUAGGAGGCAUCAAGUAGCAAGCCAAUCUAAUGUUGCGCUCAUGAUGCCAACUGCGCUGGGCACAAUGGGUGUCAACUAGCAAUAGAUGAAAAGCUUGCAACUUGUGAGCUCGCUUAACUCGCGUGUAGCUCGACUUGCCUUGGCUCAGCUCAUUUCAAAAAUCUAAUAAGCCAAGCCACAUCUGCAUCUUGUUUUGAUAACGAGCUGCCUUGAUCUAGCUCAUGAGGCAAACGAGCCAAGGCCUUGGCCUAUGCAACGCACACUACUUUGAGCAUGUGACCACCAAGACACUCGAUUGGUUUCUACCUCUCUCCUUUCUCUCUGAUAUGCUUUGUGUUCUAGAGUCCACUAGAAAAAGAAGACAAGUCAUGCCUUCUAUCUUGUCCUUAUCCUUUGUUUCUCUCUCUUUCUCAUCUACACUAUAUGAAUAGAAAAUGAAUAGACCAUUCAAGGAAGAAGGAAGGGCCUAGGACGAAUGACUAGUUGUCUGAUGCAGUGGAGGAUCUGGAGAAGAGGUGCGAUGGAUGAGGAUCCCCUUAGCCAUGGCAGGACUAGCUCGAUUUCUGAGGCCUUACAUAGUUUGCCAAUGGAUCCGACAUUCUCAAAGGUCAACAAUCACUAGAGAUGGUGUGUUGCACAGUUGUCGCACUUUGAUGUGGUGACUUCUUCACUGCCACUGCCUUUAAGACCAACCAUUGACACUACCACCUUUCCAAGCUGACAUCCUCAUUCUACGGGACUUUGGCCCUCAUCCCUAGAUACGCUCCAGAGCCACACCAACUUGCGACGCUCGUCUUCGAUCCAAGUAGCCAUGCGAGCUCAUGAGCUAAACGCGGUAACUCAAAUUGGUUACGAGCCGAGUCGUGCUAGACUUUUAGCUCAUUUAGAUAACCAGCCAAGUAGAGCCAACUCGAUAUCCAACCCUAGAGUUCAUGACUCUAUCAGGUACAACAAUGGUGACAAAAUGAGCAGCGGCUGGCAAGCACUUCGCACAACCAGCAGCGACGGGUGGCAUCACAGUGGUGGGGGCCACAAAGCAUGUGGUCGGAGCACGCCAUGCGUAGGAGUGACUAAUGAUGAGCUACUAAUGGUUCCAUGAACUUCUGAAUAGACUCACGCUGAAGUCCUUGGUUUCUAGAUUUUUGUUAGCAAUUUCAAUUGCCAGUUUUCGAAACCUGAAGUCCUCAUAAAGCAAAGAAGUUGAACCAACCAAACAAAAAAAAA